rnacentral:lncRNA from 1 species
UCAAUUUAAAUAUAGUAUUUUACCACUUAAUUUUGUGUCCAAUAGAUUAAUUUUUUUAAAAAAAUAUUAGUGAAUUUAAGUGUAAAACUUUACAAAAAAUGAGCUGGCUAGUGACAUUUGUUAUUAUUAUAAUAUUCAAUAAAAUGUAAUCAUGUAAGUUAAAUGAAGUAUCCUAUAAAUAGACAAUUUUGACAGUGAUAUUACGAAAGAAAAUCUCUUUUAUGUAGGUUUAAAUAUAUUAUAUUGUCGUAAUUUAGGUAUUUAUUUUAGUUAUAGAAGCAAAGUGACAUGUCAAGUCAUUUUAGCAAAGCUUUGCAUCGGAAUUAAAUAAUAACUUUGUGGUUUCACGCUUUCUCACUUUAGUAACUUGUGAUUUAAAAUAUAUCAAUUUAGCGUCCCGUGGUUUCAUUUUUAUCUUUUUAUUAUCCAUUCUAUUAUUUUUUUUCGUUAAAUCAGUGACAAAGUUAAAACUAAAGGUUACUAAAGUGAAUAUUCGAUAAAUCUCGGCGGGGAAUCUGAAAUUUUUGUUAUAUGAUUUAACGAAAUAUUAACAGAGAAGCUGACGAAAAGAUAAAAAUGAAACUACAUGACACUAAUUUGAUACAUUAUAAACCACAGAGUACUAACGUGAGAAAGUAGGAAUCCACAGGAGUGGUAUUUGAAGUUUACUCUUUCAUGUUUGGCUAUCCGUAAGUAAUCGAAGUGAAAAAAAAGUUACUUUUCAAAAAGUGACUUUUAUAGAAGUCACUUUUGAGUUCCAAUGUUUGGUUUCAAAAAAGUGAAAGAAAAAAAUACAGUUUUUAUGACUUUUAUUAUUUGGUUCUAUAUAAGAAAAUAAAAAAAUAAAAUAAUUUUUUUUAGAUGNAGACCCGGCUAAGAUUUUGGGCCGCGCGUGCUGAUCAGCUUCGCGGGUCCCGCAAAGAUACACAUUUCGAUUAUAUUUAUUUUGUUUGUUUUGUUUUGUUUUGUUUUUGUUUUUUUUUUUUUUUAAGAUAUGUUGGUUUUUUUUGUUAAGAUACAAUGGUUUUUAUAUUUUAUAUUUUUUAUUUUUUGUAGAUGGUAUGGAAGAAGAUUUUUAAAUGCGGUUAGUAAGUGGUGUGGAGUAAGCGGCCCACUUUCAACGACUUCGAAAUUUUUUUUGCCGAAGUCAAAAAAAUAGAUUUUAGUUAUUAUUUACUUCAUGGGUUCACUUUUCAAAAGUCACUUACAUGUUUAUUUUUAUAAUCUAAACAAUCGAAAUAAUCCUACUUCGCCAAAAUACCACUUUUAUUAUUUCACUUACGGGCAACCAAACAUGCCCUAAUAUUACAGACUUAUUCCUACAAGUAAUUAAUGUCAUAUACAGAGGAAUAUAUAUUAUUCUAUAUAUGCAAAAUAUGCAAGUUUCUUUCUGCAGUUUAACUAUCAGUAGUUGGCUGUUAUAUUUUCAAUGUUAAGACUAUUACAUCUUGAUAAAAGAUGUUUUUUAAGAAAUUUUUUUUAGGAUUUUAUGAUUUAUAGUUCACACAGAAUAAUAGAAAAAUUGGAACAAAAAUAUUAGAACUGAUAAAUGAUGUUAUUUAUUCAAGGAUAGACUGAUAGAAUGGUUUUUUCGUAUAAAAAAAAAAAAAAAGAACUUUAACUGGUCAGUUAAUAGAGAAAGAUAAACUCCAAAAUAAGUUUAUUAUUUUAUAGGAUUACAAAUGCAAAUAACCUAAAUGUAUAUUAUAUGCAUGUGAAUGUUUAUGUGAACAGGGACGGAGCCGUGUGGGGGCGACAAUGGCCAUGGCACCCCCCCCCCACAUUUUUAAAAUUACAGAACAAUUCACUAGUAAUCUAUUAAAAAAAUUAAAAUAUUAUAAAUUUAGGGGACCAAAGUGAAAUUUUUUUGAAAAGAAUUGUUGGCUUGUGGGCCAAGACUCCAAGGCUUACGCACAGGGACAGCCCAUAUAUAGACCCAAAGGAGCCAUGGCCCUCUUCAACUUUUCAAUAUUUACUUUAUAGUCCUUUGGUAGUUUAUAUAUUUUCAGUUAAUUUUUAAAAUAUAUCGGCCUAUUUUGUAAAAAGUUUUUAGUGCUAAUAUAGAGCUCUCUCUCUUCUUAUGUGUUUUAUAGGUGAAAAUAUAUUAAGAACCUUUUAAUUAUAGUGCAUUUUGAAAUAAGUCCUUUCAACUUUAAAUAUUUUAUUUAUACAUUCUUAACUUUCCAAUUAUUUUGAUGAGCUAAUUUAUUUAACUAAAUAAAAUAGUAUGUUAAGUUUAAUAGCUCUGUUAGAUAUUAGUCAUUGGUUAUUAUUAUUUUAUUAACAAAAAUUUAAAAAAAUUAAAUUCUAAUUAAAUUGCUAUUAGAUUUAGUAAAAUUCUUAAAUAAUUAGAAGUUAAGCGAGUGUAAAUUAAAGAAAUAAAUUUAAUAUUUUUUAACAUUAAUUAUCUAAUCACUAAAUUUUUUUAUUAAAAAUUUGAGUAGUUAAAAUUUUAUUUAUCUGCUAAACUUUUUAUUUGUAUAUAUUUUGGCCCCCCUUGUGAUUGAAUUCUAGCUUCGUUCCUGUAUGUGAAAUUCGUAUUUAGGAUUCAAGCUAGAUAUAGAACCAAACACGACUUAAAAUCUACUCAAGCUAUAAAAUUAGGCCCAAAGUAGGCCAACAAAUCAGCUCAAACAUAAUCUAGGUUUUGGCCCAAGCCCACUUACGAUCUUGAAUUUGGAGAACGCAUACCCGUCCCGAGUUCGAACCUGGGUGAUAUUCAAACAAAAAAAGGUUUUGGGAAUUUGAAGCGUGUAUGACCUUAUCAAUGGGCCUGAUACAGGACGAAUUUUUAAAAACUCAAACCUGAAAUCGACUACCAACCCAAAUUCCGAAUCCGAACCUGAAUCCGACGGAUUUUAAAAACUCAUAUCUAAAUCCAUACCCGAUCAAAAAUCUGAAACUUAAAACCGGACUGAAAAAUCUGAACUCGAAAUAAUUAUUUCUAUUUACCAUAGUUAAAAAACACAUUAUAUUAAAUUUAAAAUUUUUAAAUACAAAUACAAAUAUAACCUCGUGCCUUUUAGAAGCACUGAUCCUUCUGUACUUCUAAGUUGUUUUCGAUGUUGAGACUUCCGAAUUGAUGAUUGGUUUCGUUAGACUUGAUUUAAAGUAUUUGAAGUACCUAAAAAAUAAAUUUCACAAAUUUUCGAUAUUAUUUACCUAGUGUUUGAAAGGGCUCAAAAUUAGUGGCUGAGAAUAAAAUCUUACAAAAUAUGAUGAUAUGAUACUAAAAAAAUUUUAGAUUAAAAAUAUUGAUUUUGUUUUAUAUAGUAUAAAGAAUUUUAUAUCAAAAUUUUAUAUAAUUUAGAUAUGUUUAUACCGUUAAACUUGCAAACUGCUCACAAGGUUCAUUAUAAUUGUUAAUUUUGAGCUCCUUUGAUCAUUACGCAAAUAAUAUUGAAAAAAUAUAAAUUUUAUUUUCUAGAUACUUCAAAUACUCUAGUUAUUUCAGAUUCAGAUUUUUGGGUGAAGGAUCAGCUGGAUUCUGUUUAUAAUCGGGCCGAAUAGGCUGGAUCGGAUGGGUUGAGUAGAGUAACCUUUUUUUUUUUUUUGUUGGAUUAGGGUUUGGAUAUGAAUUUUCAAAAUCCAUCUGAUUUCGGAUUCGGAUUUCGGGUUCGGGUUCGGUCUCGAAAACCCGCCCCAAUUCCCACCCGACAUCAUCCCCACUCUUCUCCUCCUCGUCGUCAAAACCCUCCGCUGCUCUCUUCGGCUUCUUCUACGUCCCUCACAAAAGCGAAGCUAAAAAUACAUGUCGAGAGCGAGAGCGAGAGCGAGAGCGAGCGCUUCUGCUUCUCGGCGCCGCCGAACCGUUCCCAUCUAGGGUUUCCCGUAAGCUACCCUUCUCUCUCUCUCUCUCUCUCUCUCUCUCUCUCUCGCGCGCGCGCGCGCGCGCGCGCGUGCUAAUUUCUCCUACCUCAGCGUAUUAGGGUUCUUUUUCGCGCUUUUCCGAGCACUGAGGCUCCAAAAAUGUCGAUUUAAGGGUUAAUUUCUGCUUUUUUCGGCAAUAUUCUAUCUAAUACUUGUUGGGAUAUUACUUUUUAUAGGAAAAUAGUGGAGAAAUCGAGGGAUGACGUGGUUAGGGUUUUCGGUUUGGGGUUUUGGGGUAUUUAUGUGCGAAUUGGUACUCAAAUGAUGCUUUGUUCCGUAAAGAUCUGAUUUUGCUGAUUCUUUUGAUUUACUACGUGUGUUAUAAAUAUUAGCACAUUGUGUUAUAUGGUUGCAAGUGAGGGAUGUGGAUGGAUAAUUCGAGAUGUUUUGUUUUUUUAAAAGAUCUGAAUUCUGCUAAGCCCUUUGCUUUGUGACAUGCGAUUCUCCCAUUAAGUUGGGAUACUAGUUCGUAAUGUUGUUGUAUUGUGUUGAAAACUUUGGAGGUAAUUUAAGGUAAGUAAUUGGGAAUUUUUGAAUUGACAAGAAUGAAUUGCUGACCAUUUUCGUUAACAUUUUCAGGUGAAGAGGGGAGUUGUGGCUACACUGUGUUAAAUAUGGCUCCGGCUGUGGAACGAAGAGAGCGAUCUCGGAGGUCGCCACCACCUGCUCGAUCUAAUUCCCUGGAGAGGGAGCGCCGCUCGCCACGUAGAAGAAGCUCCCCUCGAAGAGAAAGAUCGCCAAAUCACCGAAGGGAUAGAUCGCCGGUUAGAACUAGCUCGUCCCAUAGAGUGAGAUCACCCCCGGUCAAAGAGAAGCUUCCAGAACGGGCUAGGUCGCCCAAACACCACCGUCCAAGAUCGCCCGUGGGGAAUGGUGCUUCCUCUCGGUCGCCGUCCCCUCGCACCAAACGGUUGAAACGGGCUCAAUCUGAGAGAGAGGCGGAGCACCCUAGUAGGGAAGAGCGUGAGAAGGGGAAGAAUAGAGAGCGGGGCGAGAGUAGGGAUGGUUCAAGAGAUAGGAGAGAGGAUCGGGAAAAGAAUGAUGGUGGUGGGUUGGGGAGAUUGUCGAGGCGUGACCGUUCAAUCUCGCCAGAGGAGCAUGGCAGAAAGGCUAGGCACGGGUCUCGCUCGCCCCCUAGGACAUCCAAGGCUGGGGAACGUGACGAGGUGUCUGGUGAUAUCCAACCCUUUUUCAAUCUUUCCAUCCUUUGAUAUACAUUUACUACCCUGUUUGGCUGUGAAUCUAGUUUCAGCUGCAACCACAUAGUAAAGUCUGGUUUUCGCUCCAAUGGAAAUCGGAAAUGACAUUUUGAUCCACAAAGCAGAAGCUCCAAUUUGGAGCUUUUGCUUCUAUUGCAUAGAGUUGUUAGGGCAUUUAAUAUUCAAGCAGUACUACAUCGUAUAACAAGGCCAAACAGGCAAAAGACUAUGCUAUAAAAUGAUUUGCCUAUAUGUUGUUCCCUGUGGUGGCAUUGACAGGGCUAAAAAAUUAUUGCUGUUAAUGGCAUGGCAUUGACAUAGCAUUGACAUGGCUAAAAAUUAUUGCGAGGUUAAUUCUUGUUGGCUUUGAAAUAAACAACCUCCGUAAUAAUGGCUGUUCUACUAUGUGCUCAAGGACUUUUCCUAACGUGCACCCUGUUAUGUUAAAUGGAGGUUUGCAUUUUUUUUUCCUUUUUCCAUGCUUUAGUGCCUGCUGGUCAAUCUUCGUGAUCAUGGGAUACCGGAAGCUCAACCUAAGGAAAUAAUUUAGCUUUGAUGAGAACUCUUGACAAAACUGCAUUUGAGUGUCAUGAUUAGAUCUUGUCUGAAACUGUCUUAGACAAUUAAUGAAACAAAAUUACAUUUAUUGUGUCAACCUACUUGCAGAAAAUCUAACUCAGGCUACACUGUGAUGUUUAGUUGUGAGAUAUGCAGUGUGUUAUCACAUUUUAGAACAAAUUCAAUGAGCUGUCCAUCCAUCUUAGUUUGUCUGGCAAAGAUUUUAUAUGUUUUUGGGCUGUCGAUUUCUUAUUCAUCGGUAAAUCAUGAGAAACGGAGUAUACGUUUCCUCUUGCAGUUACCAUAAUUAGGUGCCUAUAAGUUGAGAUACAUCGUGACUUGCAACAUUAUUGUAACAUCAUUUAUUCCCCAGUUGUUAUUGACUAGACCAUGUAGUUAGUGUUAGCAUUUUGGGAUAAUUUACUUUCAUAACACUUGUCUAGAUUGAAAUCUGAAAGUUUCAUAAUGGUUUUCUUUCAGGCAUCAAGGUCAAGAGACACUGUGGCAAAUCGGUGAGCAUUAUGCCAAUUAAAUUUCUGCCUUCUUCCUCUAGUUUCCAAGUGUAUUGUAAUAUCAUGUUAGCGCAUUGCUUAUUGUUGUCACGAGGAUCUUUUUGUACUUGAACACGUGCUUUUGCUGGUUAUAUUUGUUCUUCUUGCUUAGAUACUAACUACCAUCUUUUGGUUAUUGGACAAAUUCCAAGGUGGAUAUUAAUAUUAUGUUGUGUUACCAAAAGCAAGGAUGAGGAAUCUUGUUUCUUUCGUAUCAAUCGGUUGUUAUUACUUCUGGUACUUCUCGAUCCAACUAACUAGUUACUUGGACAGUAGUGCAUGAGUUACCAGUGUGAUAGUAUGGAUUAUGUGAUACUUUCUAGUUUCCUUGGACCCUGUUUGGCUUGGGUUAUGAAAUAGCUCCUCUACUCCAGAACAGAAGAGGCUUAAAAUACUGAUAUUGGGCUAACAAAUAGUUUAGAGCUUUGCUGUUCUGAGAACCCAAAUGAGAUUUUAGGGGAUUUUAAAGAAAUAUAUAAUUUAAUUCUUGGAAAUUUUUUUUUUUUUGUUAUGCAUGCUUGUAGCAAAAGAUGAAAUAACCAAUCUGUAGUAAACAAUUUCCUAUAAUGUAGUUUCUAAAAUCUGUCAAGACGAAUGAUAAUGUGAUGAACGGGAAAGAAUUAUUGGGUUGCAGUCUCUAAGUUGUAUAGAUUCUCCCAUGCCUACUCUAGUGAUAGGAAUUGAAGCUUGAUUUUAGGUGUUCUAAAUGGUUGCUUCAUAGUUCAUAGUUAAUGUCUCAAAUUUAAGUAAAUUUCGGUCUGCAUAGGAAACUAUAGGAAACUCCUACUGAAUUUUACUUUAACAAAUUUCCACCUUUGUAUACAAGUCAAGACAAGAAAUCCAGUAUCCAGAUUUAUUUCUUGUUUUUCAAUAUUAUAUUCCUGAUAUUCUUUUCCAUCUUAUAUUGUCAUUUAAGCCAAUUAUUACUCUAAUGUAACAUUAUAUAUACCAAAUAUCCUGCUCAACCAGGGUUGGUGAUAAUGAUUCUGUUACCAAGAUGAAUGCUGCUGCAGAAGCUCUGGAAGAAAAGGACAAGGUAAUGCAUGUUUCUUUCCACAAAAUAACUAGCUGAUCAUACUUGUUGUAUUGACGACUUGCUGAAAACAAUUGAUUUGAGUUGAUAUUCUUAGCAAUGAAAUCGUAAAUCUAUCGUAAUUUGAAAUGUUGGAUUAUACCUAGAAUUAUACUGUGUACAAAGCUGCUCGAUAUGCUAUUUAUAAAAUAAAAUCAUGAAUUUGUCUUGUUUUCCAAAUGUUUCAUUAUUUAUACUAUGUAGAAAGCUGCUUUCCAUGCUUUUCACCUCUAGAUAAACAGACUGUUGUGUAAUGUGUUAAAUAGUUUUUUCUUCCCCUUUGCUAGGUGUUCAAGGGUCGUAAACAAUGGUAGUAGUCCAUAUUAAUGAGCUAAAAUUCUGUACCCUGUUUGGUCUACCUGAGGAAGAAAAGAUGUUCUCAAACUAGAUCAGUUUCUACUUGCCUGUCUAAAUUCGGUUGGUGCCAGGCAGAUUGGGAUAUUACUUACCUGCUCAAAUGCUAACAUAUUUAGUAUCCAACACCGAGCAAGGUAAUUAUGUAUAAUUCAAGAGGGCUGGAAAUUAGCUCUUGGGUGUGUAACGUAUUAAAACAUACAAAAUAUGUUUACGAUUAAAUUCCUAAUUUAAAGGCUAUAUUAGAAGUUGUGCUGGAUAAGAUACUGUAUUGCAAAUCCAAACGGUGAGAUACUGUAUUACAAGUUUAAACAGUGUUAGUCUUUACUUGGUUGAUGUAGAGUGUUGCACCAUAAACAGCUUUCGGUCAUGCCCCACAUCAUAAUUUACCUUCAGUAAUUGACAGGUGGUAAACUUCAAUCUUGUUUUCUUAGUAUAAGGAUGCUUUCAAUCAGUUGGACGAUGUGUGGAAAGGCGAAGAAGUGGGCCCGAGUUCUCUGAAAUUCGCAGUCCUCUUCAUAGGUGAUCAUGGUUUGCUAGCUGUAAAAAUUGAAAAUCGCCUUCUUUAAAUUUAGUUAUCGGGAAAUGUUUGCUCAUUUUGUGAAGGAAGCACUUAGAAAACUGGUCGGAGAGGGGGAAAGUGGAGAUUUUAGCAUAUUCGCUGUUGAAGGAGAGGGGAAGAAGAAUGCGGUCCCACUUCCCUGAAGUAGCUGAAAGAAAGAAGAAUAACAAAAGACUAUAAAUUUCACAAGAGAUUCAGUGGCGGAAUGGUUAUUCCAAAUUCUAUCUAUUAAAAAGAUGUCAGAGAAAUUGCACAGAAUUCAGAACUAAGAAAAGCUUUGAAAGGUUUAAAAGUGCUGAGAAAACAGUUGAUGAAGAUAAACAUAAAGAUAUAAUAAUUCUCUAUUCCAUGCUAAAAGUACCGUAAGUUUUAUGGUCACACACUAUCCAUUGAAAGAUUGGUGUACAAGUUUUGACUUUUGAGUUUCAUAGAUGAUGAUGCAUUUACUAUGUUAGAAAUCAGAAUUGAAAUGUACGUUAUUCAAAGAAGAUUGAAUCAAUGUGGCUCGCUGUUCCUUUUGAGCUAUGGAGGUGGUAUUAGAAGCUCUGUAACUAAUAAAUUUGACUGAUCUACUGUAUUCUUGACUGUUAACUCCAUUAGCUGAGAACAAACAGAAAAUACCGAAUUAGUAAAAAUUAGUUUUAGGACUGAAUUUCAAGUGAUACAAUGGAACUUAGUAAGAAUAAUCGGACAAAGAUCAAUAAAUGAUAAAAAGCAUAUUCGACUUCAUGGUAAUCAAUUGUGGAGUUAUUUACUUACUAGCUGCCAAUACGAUUAAUGGUAAGAGUAAGUAGAGAAGGACUUGCAUAUGGUAUACAAUAUAAUAAAAGCAUGUAAUAUAAAUCUUAGCUAAUUAAUAUGGCCGGUUUUAGAGUAGGAAUACCUGAUAAUGUAAUGAUGUCAUCAUCAAUGUGAGUCGCAUUGCUGCAACUACUGAAAGGGUAUCCACAGGACAGGUAUCGUAAGACUAGGGUUGCAAUAAUGUUUGACACUAAUUCCUUGUAUGCCUUUAUCAUAUGUGAAUUAACAACAUAUUCCAAGAUGAGGCUUGACACUAUCUUUUCUGCCGAAUACUUCAUUUCAAUUGAUAAAUUCAUUAUGGUGUCAAUGACUAAAACCUUCAUUACUUCAUAUAAAUUGUUCAAAUUAGAACGGAGACGUGCCUCUAGCACGGCGUGAUAACUGUGUGCCUCUUAAAUUUUAAUCUAAGGGGCCGUUUGGUUCUAGGUUUGUAAUAUUCCGGGAAUGUUAUAUAUUUUAUAUAUUUAGAAUAACAAGUUUUUUUACUAACUUAGUUGUUAAGUACUAGUAUAUUUUUAUUAAUUGACUACUACUGAUUCCCAUCAAGCAUAUAAAUGAGAAUAUCUCCUAACCCAUGAUAAUCUAGUAUUCCUUACCACCUAGGAAUCUACAAUGAUUCCACUACUUCACUAAUACUUUUUACAGCUACCCAACUUAACUUGAACGGUAAUUAUUUGAAUAUUUUCAAUUGAAAAUAUGGAGGAUUAUGGGAAUGUUAUAAAAUAUAAACCAUGAACCAAACGGGUCCUAAAUGAAAGAUGCUACGUCAUAUUUGUAAGAUUCCUUUUAUUUACGAUGAUUUACUCAAUUUAUGUUUUCCCCCUUCUCUUUUGGGGGUAAAUUUAUCUACCUUAUUUGACCAUAAUUUGACUAGGUAAAAAGAACUAUUUGCCUUUAUAUAUAUUGUAUUACUUUGAGUUAUUCGCUGUAUCUUACUGAAUCUUUGUAGUUACUUUGGUAUACUGAUUUUCUUUGAAUGUUUAUAUAUCCUUUAUUUUGUGCUCAAAUGGGUUCCAUCGCUUGCUUCUGCGAGUUUGCUCUGGGUUUUAGCUCUACAAAUAAUUAAUAUUGAGAGUAGCAUCGAUUUUUGUAGCCAUAAGCCUGUUUUACCAAAGAUUCAAGUAUGAGAACUGAAUAGGCUACUUUGCUUACGGUAAAAUAUAUAUGAUUACUGUUUUUUUUCUCAAUGCUCAUCUUUAUUGUGCAGCACAAACCAUCAUUUGAGUUGUCAGGGAAGCUUGCAGAAGAGACUAACAGAGUUCGAGGUGAACUGAUUCAACCUGAAUCUCUUGUAUUUUCCUUUUUAAAUUUAAACAAUAAAAUCCCUACAUUUUAUUUCCUUCAUUUGAUAUUGUAAAAACAUUUCUUAGCUGGUCUUACUAUGCUUAAUUUAACAAACUUGAUGUAUAAGAUGUCACUACACUCCUUUCAUUGCUCUAGGAGCGAAGGGAUAGAAUAAAAUUAAUUUUUUAACUCUUUUUCUGCAUGAGCAAAAAUAAAAUUAACUAUAGUAGUUGCUUCUGGAUUCAUGCGAGCUGGCUGCUGUAAAGGCAAAUACUAUUUAACAUCUUAUUCCUGUUGUUUACUCUCCUUUUGUACUUUUCAGGUAUAACUUUACUAUUUACUGAACCUCCAGAGGCCCGCAAACCUGAGAUCAGAUGGCGGUUGUAUGUUUUCAAGGGUGGAGAAGUGCUUAAUGGUAGUUGCUUACUUUCUACAUCCUUCUCUAAAUAGAACAUAUAAGAUUGUUUUACAGAUGCAUGCAUGUACGUUUAUGCUGAUUUAAAAGAAAAUAUUUCAGGAAGCCAAUUAACUAAAAAAAAUACAUUUGUUAGCAGAUAUAAGCAAGGUGUCCAUUCGUACUAAGGUUUUUUUUUUUCCCUUUUUUGUUUUGUUGCGAGCUCUGCGUAUGGUGUUGUUGGUCUUUCAAACCAAUGAUUAAAGUGUCGUGGCACGGGGGGCAUGCGUUGUUUGCUUGGCAAGGUACGGCACAGGCAUGCUUGCUUGCUGACACUGGCAUGCUUGCGUGCCGAUGGAUACGCAUGACCUCCUAAUGGCACGCUUUGGCACUAGCUUAUUUUAGUUUUUUGUGAUCCCAAUAAGCUUUUACAAUGUUAUUUUGAAAGGUUUAGUUAAAUAAUUAUGAAUAUUGGCUAUAUAUAGUUUACUAACCAAUUAACAUACCGGUAAGUUUUUUUUAGGGUAAACUUCAAAUACCAUCCCUGUGGUUUUGCUGCCCUGUGGUUUAAAGUGUAUCAAGUUAGUGUCCUGUGGUUUCAUUUUUAUCUUUUCGUCAGCUUUUUCGUUAAUAUUUCGUUAAAUUAUAUAUAAAAAAUUUCAGAUACCCCACCUAGGUUUAUCGAAUAUUCACUUUAGUAUCUUUUAGUUUUAACUUUGUCACUGAUUUAACGAAAAAAUUAGUAAAAUCGAUAAUAAAAAGAUAAAAAUGAAACUACAAGGCACUAAAUUGAUACACUUUAAACCACAGGGUAUUAAAGUGAGAAAGUGUGAAACCACAGGGAUGGUAUUUGAUGUUUUUCUUUUUUUUAUAUGUAAAGUACAACUAUACCUUAGAAAGAAUAAAAAUUAAAAUAAAAUAAUAAAAUUCACAAGUGCAAUAAUUAUAUAAAUUUAUAUCUUUACAGAGAGAUGAUUGCUUAAUUCUACAUAGAUCGUCGCGGUGGAUCAUAAAAAUUUGUUAGACCUAUCUAUAAAAAUUUAGCAGUAAAUUAUAUAACAAAUAAAUUAAAAAAUUUUAAGUAUCAAUUGAUUUUAUUAUGCUUUUAAUUUUAAGUAUUUUUAAUCUUCUAACUCCAAAAAUAGAAUUUUAUGUUAGAUGUGCCUCGAAAUUAGUUAUCGAGUUCGAUUUUGUCCCCUGAUUUGUCGAAAGCUUUGCUAUGCGACGAUUGGAAAAACAAUUUGUGAAGAAAAAGUGAAUGUCUAUAGUAGCAACAGAGGGCUCGGGUCGAUAGGCAUGAUACUGUGCCUUAAUAUCCGCUGGGGUAUUGUGUUGUACCCCCAGCAGGUAUCGCAACGGGGUACUGUGACCCCCCGUGCCAUACGGCACGGGGCGGCACUUGAAUCAGAACUUCUAAUAUACCCAAGCACUGCGCCAUAAUUUUAGCUGUGGCUUGGUUUGGUGUGUGAUAAUCUCCCCGUAGUUUGAGCCUUACAUUCUCGUUCAGUUCAUUGACCUAUAGAGAGUACUAAUUUAAACUUCAAAGUUUUAUGCCUCCCAAUUGAUAUAAGCUCGAAGGAGCAUUGUGCAUUUUCUUGUUAUUUUUAUGUGUUAACACAAACAAUCAAAUCUGGUUGAGAAAACUGAUUCACUAUAAUCUAUAUCUAAUAUUUUCUUAUGCGAAUCUAAUGUGAUGCUACCAAGAUUUGGCAUGAUUUCAGCUAAAUUUGUUUUGAUUCUAUCUGUAUUCGUUGUGACUAUGGUUGAAUUUGAUAUGCUUGUCUAAAUAUUGUGUAGUUAUAUUUGUUGAUUUGUUUUGUAGAGUUUAUUCAUUACAUGAGUCUAAGAGUGUCUUUGUAUGAUCUACAUAGGAUGAGAGUUGGAUUAUAUAUGAGAUAGAAGAACUAUACAACAAAAUUCUACAGAAGAUUUAUCAUUUGAAACUGGAUUUGAUUCACUUGAAUUUUCGCAACUAAUCGUGAACAUUAUGAAAGAAAUUACAAACCUUCCAAGUUCUAACAGAAACUAUCAAAACCUAAAUCAGAACCAAUGCUGUGAACCAUUGUCUGGAAGCAAGAUAUACUAACUGGCCCAGUUUUGUGUGUAGUCAGAUAAAAGUAAUAAUUAUGGUUACAGUUUCUGGUUUCAUGCAUAAAUAGCGGUGCCACUUGAUGACACUUUUUCACCUUAAGCCUAAAACUUCUUUUUUUUUAAAGCCAUCAGGAAAUUUCAGAAUUCCAGCACUGCUUGGCUGUUAUGGUAAAAUUAAAAUAUGCUUCGUAUUAUAUUAGGAACAAAGCCUCUCAUUGUUAACUUGGUUUCUGAUUUUGAUUCUAAUGUAUAUGAUAGAGCCCCUCUAUGUACACCGCCAGAGCUGUUAUCUUUUUGGGAGAGAGAGAAGGAUUGCAGACAUUCCCACAGAUCAUCCUUCUUGCAGCAAGCAACAUGCAGUUCUUCAAUAUAGGUAAUCUUUUUUCUUUUUUUGUGAGUAGAAUAUCAGUACAAUUUCUGCUUCCCCAGUAUCACAGUUACCAGACAAUCACCUUCUUUCAUCAUCUUUACAUUUUCAGGCUUGUAGAAAAGGAGCAACUGGAUGGAUUGAUGUCAAAGCAAGUAAGGUAAUUAUGUGCAACAAUUGAAUUUUAAAAAUUCUUCCAUCUUUUGCUGUUAAAACUUUUUGGUCACUUUUCUGACUACCGCACAAUAUUGAUUUUCUCUCUCUCUCUCUCUCUCUCUCUCUCUCUCUGGUUAUGUAUUUUACUAGGCCUUACCUGAUGGACCUUGAUAGUACAAAUGGAACUUUCAUUAAUGUAAGUCUUUUGACUACUCAUUCUGAGCUCUUUUUUGCCUGUCCUGUCCUGCUGGAUGAAUGUUGUAGCAGAAUUCUACUCAUAUUUGUCUAUACAUGUGCACUAUAUCUUUCUAACUGUGUGUUUUGUAUGUGCAGGAUAAUCGCAUUGAACCUCGCCGUUAUUAUGAACUUUUCGAAAAAGAUACUGUUAAAUUUGGUAAUAGUAGGUAUGACAUCAGGGUUGCACAGAAUUGAUACAUGAUGCAGGAGUUCCUUUUUGUAUAUUUUUUUUUUGUCAUUCUUCUUUAUAACCCGCUGUCACCCUGCUAAGCUUUUCUGCUGAAGCAUGAUUGCUUUUCAAGUUCUUUCUAGUCUUUUCAAAAGCUAAUUGCAAGGGUACUUACAAAAUGCUCAUUCAGUAGUAAAUGACACCAAUUCAUCUAAAAUAUUGCAUAAUUUGGUAAUUAGGCAGCUUCUGUAUACAUAUUCAGCUAAAACUAUGCCUAUUUAAGAGUUUAGUUACCUAACAUUUGUCACUAAACGCACAAGUUGGCUGACUUCUCUCCUAUGAAUCGGCAUAAUCUAAAUCCUCUGACUUCUCUCCUAUGAAUCGGCAUAAUCUAAAUCCUCUAUGGUUUAAGUCGUUUCCAUGAAUCAGCAACUGGCUGUUGGUUGGCCUGACUACAGCUUUGCACGGAUAAAUGUCAGGUCAAUUAUUUGUAUGUCUAUUAGAUUCAGGUUUUCUUCUCUUUUGCAGUAGUUGCUCUGUGCCAUUCUAUUGAUACUUACUCUUUUCUCAACAUAAAUUAGUUUUAUAGGCCUUUGUACAUGCUUUAAAACUUGCAAAAUGGAUAAGAGUUGUCAAUUUACUUAUCUUGUUGCUGCUGUAAUGCUACACAUUUGUUCUUAUCCAUUUUUGCGCUGUUUGAUGAGGUGGGCCAGACGUCUCCAGAGCACAAUUCGCUCCAUCAUUUGUACAUCUUUUAUCUUUUCGUAUUUUGAGAAUUGGGUAAUGUACAUUGCAUCUCAUAAGCCCUGCAUUUCAGCUCCAUAGCUUAAACUUGUCGUUUACAUGAUGGUCUGGGAGAACAUCCUCUGUUGUGCAUAUUCUUCUUUCUGUGAGAAGUCCUUAACUCUGGUUAGGUGGAGAAGUAAAACAUCCACUCUACCAACAGUUUUCUUCUUCCCUGAAUUUCACAUCUUUAUCUAAAUUAUCUCCUCUCUGUUUCCAUUUUCGACUAUGCCCUUUCGGUAACAUAUUAUAUAUCCUUUAAUAACAUUAUAACAAGUAUAUUUUCAUUCCGAGAACAACCUUUGAGGUAUCAAGACCUUCAAAUUCCUAAAGCAAAUGAGUUUCUGUUCUCUCUUUUAUUGUCCAUCUUUGGCGAAUUGGCGUACAUCUUCACCUUGUUGAGGUUUCCGUUCAUGCCCAUCCAUGGAUGUUUGAAAUUUUGCUUCCCAUUUUCAUGGAACAAUUUUUUUGCUCUUUGUAUUGUUUCGUGCAAUUUCACGUGUCUAUAAUAUGAGGCUAUUACUGAAGUAUACUGGUUUAUUUCUUUAUAGUAUUGAAACUUCUUUUCUUGUUUUGUUUCUCUAUUUCUGUUCUACAUGUGAAAUUCUCUACUUUGAACUUGUACUGCACCUGUGGCUUCUUAAACAUGUUAGCUGCUGUGCUUGUUUUUUCGCAGCCGGGAGUAUGUGUUGCUGCAUGAGAACUCGGCGGGAUGAGUGGCGGUGUAGAAUCAAAAUUAGAGAUGCGAGGUAUCCAAUUUUCAAGAGAAGAUUGUUUAUGAAGAUACUCUUUGUAAUGCGCUUUGCCAAAAUUGGAAUUGUUUCGACUGCUCUGCUUUGCUUAUUUAUUGUGAGACAGAGAGAGCGGGACAUAAUUGACGAGGAAACAAGUUCUUGUAUGGAUGUAGUGUGGAAGGCUAACUUGUCGCGCUGUAUUUUGAUCCUGGAUGUAGGAAAAUGUGCUUCAUAAUCUCAUGUUCCUUGUUGUCUCUCUAAUGUCUCUGUAGAAGGCUAAUUAACACUUGAAUUGGCCAAAUUUUCAUUGAAGUUCCAAUGGUUAGUUUGAAUUGUUACCAGUGUGGAUUGUUUCAACUGUUUUCGCUCCUUUCUGGGAGGCUAUGUAGCCCUUGUGGAUUGUUCUAGUACUAUUCACAUGAUAACAGUUACGGCGUGCUUGGUUCGCAUUAUAUAACAUUACAUGUUAUUUUGACAUAUCCGAAUAUCUUGGAUUUUUGGAUGAAAUUAUUACUAAUGAUCCAUUAGCACGUUUGGUUUAAUUUAGUAAUAUAAUACUGAAUUUCAGUGUAUAUAGCAUUAUUAUGUUUAAUUCAGUUUAUAAAAUUAAGUAAUCAUGACAACAAAAUGAAAUCUAUUUUAAAAUUAUCUUUAGUCACAUUUGGCAAAACUUUUUAUUAUUUACAAAUAAUAAUUUUUUUACUAAAUUUUAUUUCAAAUAAUUUAAAAUUUGAAUUUACAUUUUAUUUUUUAAUUUAAAAUUUAAAAUUUAAAAUUUGAAAUUUGAAAUUUAAAAUUUAAAUAUAAAUUUAAAUUUUGAAAAUUGAAAAUUGAAAUUUAAAAUUUAAAAUUAAAACUUGAAACUUAUAAUUUAGAAUUUAAAAUUUAAAAUUAAAAUUUAAAAUUUAAAAUUUGAAAUUAAAAAAUUAAAAUUUGAAAAUUUAAAAUAAAAUUUAAAAAUUUAAAAAUUUAUAUUAAAAUUUUAAAAAUAACGUACUGAAAAGGUUUGGGGUUCGGUGAGAUAAACUUGUAAGUUUACAUAUAUACAAACGAGAUACCUACCACUCGCUCGGUAAUAUUUUUGAUGUAAUUCUGCACUAGUUAUAAUGCUAAUUACUGACCAAAUUACAUACUGGAUGAAUCAAACGCAGUAAUCUCAGCAAGAUUGCCCGUAAUCUUGUCAAUAUAAUCCGAACUAAACACACCCUCAUGAUAAAUUGCAUGUUUGGCCCUCAAACUGUAAGGCGGGUGACACUUUCGUUUCUUCAAACUUUCAUUUGUUAUAAUUUCUGCCUUAAACUUUCAGAAUUGUCACUAUUUAAAUUUUAUAACUUAAUUUAGCUGACUAAAUAUUGAUGUAUUAUUAAUAUGAAAGUGACUUCGUAGUGUUGUGAUUGAUAAUGCAUUAAAAAUUAAGAUGUUACAUUACUUUUACAUCAGCGAUUCAUAAAUAUUUAGCUAACUAAGUUGGGUUGUGUGAUUCGGUUGUAAUAAUUUUAAAAGUUCAAGAGAAAAUUAUAACAAAUUAAAGUUUGCGGACCCGAAGUACCAAUUGUACCCCUUCUUCGGUGAUCCGGACAAAUGAAAUUUGGUCCGGAUUUUUGUCGGCCCAAUUUACAUGGCCGAUAUCUCCUACAUUUACAUCUACCAUCUGCGGCCUCCCUUCAACCGCGACUUCUUAUAUAAUGUAAAAUCAAUUUGGGUUCUAGACAGGUAUAGUUAAAAUUCAUAUCCGAAUCCAAAUCUGUUAGAUUUUCAAGCCUGCCCCCACAUAGUGUGCGGACACACUCACACAGGUGUGACGGCAGUACCUAAUCUACUGUCUCUACUAUCACUGGUCAGCAUCCGGAGCGGCACUCAAGAGGAGCGAUCCCUACAGAGUCUAAUAGCGCUUAUCACUCGCCUCAUAGGUUAGGGUACCAUACGUGCAAUUUAUCCUGGCAAGUUAAAACUUCAUUUUGUUGCGAGGGAUUUCAAAUUUUGUGUUAAGUAAUUUUUUUUUUCCCCCCUUCUAUUAUGUGGUGUGAGAAUCGAAUCAAAGUUCCUUUAUAGGCCGUAGGUUGUGUCGUGCAGUUUUCCUGAUGCAAGAUGUUCAGAUUAGCUUAGUAAAGCCGUUUGUGAGGAAAAAUCCGGAAAAAAACCGGCUUGAACCAAUCCCGGAAACUGAUGAACCAACCAAGUAAAAAAAUGUUUGCUGUAAAAUACGAGAACUAUAUUGGGUAUUAAUGAUGUUAAUUAAUAAUUGAAUUUUUCUAAAAAAAAUGUUUAUUUAAAUAUUUGUCAAAAUUUUUAUACAUUUAUUUAUUUUUAUGGUUCAACUCCGGUUUGACUCGGAUUCGACGUUUGAUCCUCAGAUCUCUUUUCUCACCGGUUCGAUCCUUUGUUAGUUAAUUCGAGAAUUAUUCGUGAAUUAUUCGCGAAUUAUUGAAAAUCCGAAUUAAACGAUCCGUUUACAAAUUUUUUUCAAAGAAAGAAAAUUAUUCGUGAAUUUUUGGGCCAGUCGAAUAAUUCACAAAUUAUUCCCGAAUUAUUAAAAAUAUGAAUAAAAAAAUUAUAAUUUUUAUUUUUAAAUAUAGAUUAUUUUAUAUUUUAUAUGUUAUACUAAAUUUAUUUUUUAAGCCAAAUUUUUUAAUAAAUUUAAAAAUUAGAAAACGAAUUUUAUGUGUAUUAUACUUAUGCGAGAAUUUUUGCUGAAUUUACACUUCUGGUGAAUUAAUGCUUGUGUGAGUGAGGCUCAAUAGUAAAUGUUGCAGACAACAAAACGGCAAAACAGGUGGCGAGAGGCAGGCCGCUGUCCAGCGGUGGAUGUCAUCCACUGCUGCUCGCCACUGGCAGCUACAGCCUACAGCAACAGAGAGGAAGAGAACCAAAAUAGUUCUUUCCAUGGACCAAGUCCGCCACGUCAGCAUAGACCAAAACCUUUUUGUGCUUAUUAUUUUUUUUAAUGGAUUAAUUUCAUACGGCCUGCAAAGAUAUGAAAUAGUAAAUAUAUUCUUUCAAAACUAAAGUUAUUAGAUUUAUCCCUUUAAAAUUUGGUUUGUUCGUAUAUAUUUCUAUCAUUAAAUUCAUAUUUAAUUUUUUUAAUGGUGGAUGCAUAAAAGUACUAUUUUUGCCCUUACAAAUUUAUCACUGUAAAAAUCUCUCUUUCAUUUUCUCUCUCCUCGCCUUCCCCGCGGCAUGUGUGGCGUAUCUUAUUUUUGCCGCGAUCAAGGGCUUCACUUUCGACGUUGCCACUGUCGUAGGUCUCGUCGUCAUCAUGGAUAAAGAGUAAAGAGUGAGAAAGAUGACGAGACUCAAUAUUAAAAUAGAAAAUAUAUAUUAAGGAUAAAAAUGUUAUUUUAUUUCGUAGUUAACUGUAGUUAAUUUUUUUAACUCAUGAUUAUUAAAAUUUUGGUAAUAAAAGAAUAUAUUUGCAGACGGAAGGAUUUUUUGAAAGGAUAAUAUGAUAAUUUAAGUUUUAUAGAGAUACAUUUAUUAUUUGAUAUCUUUAUAGAGAGCCAUAUGCAAUUACUCCCUUUUUUUUAUUUUAUUAUGAGAAUAGUGAAACUCAGAGGGAUGUCAUUAUGUCAACAGUGAUGAGAUGAAUGCUAGGUUAUCUAGGAAAUAAUUUCUCGGCAUAUUAUUUUCUUGUAGUUUCUUGUACCGUACCUUGAAAAUUUUUUUACUUAAAGGUGUAUUUGAUUUGUGCUAUGAAAGAUUAUCAUGAAUAAAAAUAUUUUUAAGAAUUUGAUUCACACUUAUCUAAUUAUUGAGAAUAUGACAUUUCAGGAUUUGGUUCGUUCGGUUAUAUUAUUUAAGAUUAUUGAAAACAUAAAAUUAAUUUGCUUCUUUCAUCAAUUGAUUUUAGAUAAUAUUACUUGUAAUGUGAACAUCUUUAUUUUUUCUAGCAAUUAUGAUGAAUUUGUUUCCAAUUAAAAUGAGAAAGGUUAGCUUAGGGUGUGUUUGGAUCCUCGUAAAACAGCUCGGAAAAAUAUUUUUCGGUUGAAAAAUUAAUUUUUCAUUGUUUGAUUAUCCGUAAAAAAUUUGUUGGAAAAAUUUAUUUUACAGAUUUUCAGAAAAUGAGCCCUUUUCAUUUUCCGCUGGCGUCGGGCGGAAAACGAAAACCUCCCGCGUUGAAAAAUCGCGGUGCAGAGUUAUUAGCACGCGGUCCACGAGGUGAGCUUUCCCUCGUGGACCGCGUGAGAGAGAGUCCACGAGGGACCGGACCCCUGGACUCUCUCUCUCAUUCAUUAUGUGUGUNAUAUAUAUAUAAUUUUAUUUUUAUAUAAAUAUAUUACUAUAUAAUAUAUAUAAUAUUAUAUAUAUAUAUAUUAUUUUAUUUUUAUAUAAAUAUAUUACUAUAUAAUAUUAUAUUUCUAAUAUUAUUUAUAAAUAUAUAGUGAAUUAUUUUAUAGUACUAAAUAUAAUAUACUAUUAUGUAUUAUAUUAUAUACUUAUUGUAUUAUAUAUUCUAAAUUUAUUUACUUAUAAAAAACCUAUAAUAAUAAUAUAUAUAGUAUAAUAAUUAUUGUAUAUCAAUAAUAUAUAAUAUAUAUAAUAAUAAAAGGAAUAUAUAAUAGUUUUCUAUUUUUUUUGAAUUUCCUUUUUUCGAUUUAUACUUAUAUACUAUUAUAUAUAUAUAUAUUAGUAUAAAUAUAUAUUUAUUUAUUAUAUAUUAAUUUAUGUAUUUGAUAUAAAUAUAUUAUAUAAUAUUUUAUUUUACUUUUUUUUCUAAAUUCUGUACAUUAUUUAUUUAAUAUUUUUAAAUACUAUAACCUCGUAUAUAUUAUGUAAUAUAUUUAUUAUAAUUUUAAAUAUAUUUAAUCUAUAUAUAAAAAUUAUAAUAAUAAUAUAUAUAGUAUAUUAAUUAUUAUAUAAUAAUAAUAUAUAUAUAAUAAAGAAUAUAUUAAAUCGGUUUUCAUUUAUUUUUCUUUCCCUUUCAACCAAACAACCAUCAUAGAAAACUAUUUUUCUUUUCCUACAAACCAAACACUAAACUACGUAAAACUUUUUUUUCCACCGAAAAUUUUUUUUUCCAGUUUUACGUCGAACCAAACAGCCCCUUAGAGAGAAAUUUUUAGAGAGAUUUGAGGUUAGAACAACACGGAGGGAGGGAGAGAGAGAGAAUUUUUUUAUUAGAGUUGUGGAGAGAUAAAAGAGAAAGGAAGAACUUAACUGAGAGAUAGAGAGACAUGUAAGAUCAACCGGAAAGAGUAAGUUGAGAGAGAGAGAGAGAGCAUAGUUUAGAGAGAGCAUUAUUAGAGAAUAGAGAGAGGUAGAGGUGUUUUUUUUUAAAAGAGAAAGAUAGUAUGCUAUGAUAUACUGAAUCUUAGCAAAUUGAUAAAGUUACACUAUAAAUUUAUACUUGAUUGAGUUGGAAACGUUCUAUACAAAAUAGGCGCAAAAACGAACUUUAAAAUUCAAAAUUUAAUUUGUAGAGGAUUAAAGUUGAAAUACUUAAUUUUAGAGGGGCCUUUUGGCAUUUUUCUUAUAUUAAGCACUGAAGUCUAUAGUUAUCCAUUUCAUCCUUUAUCUUGAAGCUUUAAGGGAGACAGAGAGAGAGAGAGAGAGAGAGAGAGAGAGAGAGAGAGAGAGAGAGAGUUUGGUUGGAGUAGAAGCUUUCGUUUCUCUCGCCCCAGCAAUUGGCGCGCGCAGAUGUUUUUGGCGUUUCGAUAUCGCGGUUAGUAUAACAAUAUUAUUACCCCAGAGAUUGGCGCGCGCAUAUGUUUUUGGCGUUUCGACAUCGCGGUUAGUAUAACAAUAUUAUUAUCUCUCAUUUAAACUCUUUUGAUAAUUUUUGGGUAGAAAUUGAGAGUUAGAAAUUAAUUUCUUUAUAUAUUUUAAGAGCUAAUUUCUUGACUGUUGUUCAGACUAGGAGAGCUGUAGCAUACCAUCUGACUAUUGCGAUUGUCGUCCUAUUUCUUAGAUUUGUGAUAAAUGUGGUGUUAGAUGUGACUCGAAAUCUACUAUCGAUUCAGGUUCGGGUUUACGACUCGCUGACAGCUUCGCGGUGCGACUAAUUUGGAAAAGAAAAUUAUGGAGAAAAAAUAAAUGUCUGUGGUGGGUAGCGGAGGGCUCGGGCCGACAGGCCUGAGCCCGUAGCCCACCAUGGACAUUCGCCAGGGGGUGCGGGGGGCUCUGCCCCCCGCGGUACGGAUCGGAUCCGAAUCCCGUUAUUAGUUUUCUUUUUCGUUUAUCGUUUAUGCCCUAGAGGUGUGUGAUCGUGGUUGGUUGUAACCAGAAGAACAUUAUAUUCCUUUUUCGUUCCAUAGUGAAGUUCUCUCCUCCCUCGCCCGUGGUUUUUUCCCUACAAAGGGUUUUCCACGUAAAUCUGUGUCUCUUUAUUUUCUGCUUGUGGUUUGAUUGUUUUUGUGUUUGUCAUUUCGUUUCCGUUUGUGCGUUUGUCGUAACAGGUGGGUUCUGUAUUGUUAAAAUUAGCGGACUAAUUUGUAUAUCUAUAUUAUAUUAUUUAACCUGUGAGAUUAACUGUUAAAAUAGUUAAAAUAAUAGUGAUAGUUUGACAUCUGCUAGUAGAGUAAAUUUAUAUAUAUAUAUAUAUAUAUAUAUAUAUAUGUGUGUGUGUGUGUGUGUGUGUGUGUGUGUGUGUGUGAGAUAUUUUUGUAAAGGUCAAUAGACAGUUACACAUAGUGUAAACUAUAACUGUAUUUUGGACAGUAUGACAGUAUUAUCAUGAUCUGCUUGAUCAACGUAUUUGACCAUAGCCUACAUGCUAUGUUUAGUUUGACAGUAAUUCUUUAUUCGGUUGGGGUAGUGCCAUGCGAGUGCCACUCCGGAGGUUGGAUUAUGAGAUAUUAUUAUGGUAUGGACCAGACAAUAGCCUACGUGAUAGCAGACCACUAUAGAUGGAUGCUGAACACGGGGCAUUGCAGGUUAGCCCUGACUGUUGAGUCGAUCACUAUGACUAUGUAUUAUUGCAGUAUUUUAUUUAGUCUCUAGUUGAUGCAUGCAAUACAUGAUUUACAAUUUCAACUAUAUUGUAGAGAUAUGAUAUUAGUAGUUAUUUUUUGCAAUUAUUAUAUUAGUAUCUAUUCAUCAUAUUGCUAAGUUAUUUACUAUGUUUGUCUCUUAUGGACCUAAUGGUGCAAACUGUCGGCGUUGACGAUCGUACGUACCGGAAACUAUUGAUUAUAGUUAUUAUAUUUUCUUUAUUAAUAUUUUAUUUCAAAAUCUUCUGCAUCAGCGACUGAUCGAAAUAAGGGGAUUGUGGAUGAUUAGUAUCUCAUACCCUUUUUGUGUAUGUAAUUGGACCAUCUAUCAGUGUAUAUAGCAGUCCGUAGAGAGAUUCGAGAUUUCGAGUGGUUAGAGAUGUGGUAUCAUUUUAAGGAUUGGUAUGCGGAGGAUUGUAUAUAUUUAGAGUGUUGUUAUAGUAUAUAGUUUUUACUUUACUUUAAUAUAUACUGUUGUUAAAUUUUAGUUAAUUUUGAUGAAUAAAUUUUUUGAUGUUUUGUAUGUAUAAGAUAUAUUCUUAUGCAUAUGGUGGGUCUGUUGACAUAACCCGUACUUCUGCUGUAACUCGGGACAUGACACAUGAUAUCCGCUUCAUUUAUUUUUUUUUAAAAAUAAUCUUAGUUGAAAAUGUGAAGCAACUAGAUUUCAAACUUGAAAUCUCGAGUAUAAACCACCAACCUCUCUUUGUCACUUGUACUAGAGACAAUAAAGAUAGGAAUAGAGAAAUUAAAUGAGAGGAGGGAGAUGGGGAUAAAAAAAAGGCGAGAGUUUACGUCUAAAGAGAGACACAAGGUUAGAGAAAAAAGAAGAAAAAAGAAUAUAGUGGACAAUAAACGAAGAAAGAGAGGCGAAAAAAGAAUGAGUUGGAUUGGAAGUUUUAUGAUUUUUCGAAUCUUCUAUUGAUAGGAGAAUAUAUACCCUCUUUCAAAGGAUUAGAUUCUUAUAUUAGAGUGAAUGACAUUGCCAAAUAAUCCAACACUACCAAUCAAAUUAUUUGGUGUACGUUAGCUAGAUAUCAUCAUAUAUGGUUUAUUCCUAUUGGAUUAGUUUAGUAAGAAUUUUAAAAAGAAAAUGCAAAACAAAUGCACUCUAUCAAUUAUAUUGCAUAAAAUGAACUCCAAAUUAAUCAUAUUUUAUUAUUUAAGAUCGUAAAAGUUUUAAUUAGAGAUCAUACGAUAAUUUUAUAUUAAAAUAAUAAUAUUUAAAAAAAUUGUUUUUGUACUUUUGUACAAUGGGGAGAUUUUUAUUGGAUGUUAUUAUUUUUUUCGUGUGGCGAACAAAGACUUUUCUACUAUGAUGCCAUAUUUGUUUGGCUUAGUUAUACUAUACUAUACUUAGGAUGUUAAUGGGUACGGAUAUUUGAAAUUUUAUCUGAAUCUGAAAUAGAAUUCGAAAGGAGCGGAUUUAUCUGAUGCUAAAUGGAUAUAGAUUCUGAUAUGAAUAUCCAAAAAUAAAAAUUCGACGGAUAUGAAUUCGGAUGGAUUUUGACUAUACCCGACCCGAAACCGAACCCGACCGUAACCCAAUCCAAACCCGAAUUUAUAUAAUAUGUAUAUAAAAAUUUGAUAUUAUAUUUGAAUUUGUAUUUUAAAAAUUUAGAUUUAGUGUAAUAUAUUUUGAAAUAUUGAAAAGAGAAAUAGUUGUUUUGGGUUCGGAUUUUGAAUUUUUGGUCGGGUUCGGGUUUGGGUAUGGAUUUUAAAAUCCGUCGGGUUCAGGUUCGGAUUUGGGUUCAAAUUUCGGGUUUAGAGUUGGGUUUGGAUUUGGGUUCGGAUUUUUAAAAUCCGAUCCGUUGACAUUCCUAACUGUACUAUGUUUUACAAAUUUGUUUUAGUUCUUACAAUGUUUUUUUUUUUUUUUUUAAAAGGCACUGCCCAACUAUUUCUUUUUUCGUUUUUUUUCGAUCCUUGCGCUAUAAGCAAUCCAUCUAUAAUUUUAUAUAAAGGCGGUUAAAAAAUACUAGUUAAACGUUGCAUGGCAUAUAUUCAACUUAUUUUAACAUAAAAAAUAACAAAAUAUAUAAAAAUAUCAAAAGUAAUUAAAAAUAACUUGAUAUAAAUUUUUAAUGAAUUUACGGUGAAGAUUUAUUUUAUAUUUUUUUAACAAUUUAACUAGUGUCACCUAAAAUAGUAAAAUGAGAAAUAAAAAUAAGAAAAUUCAUAUAGGAUAUUUAUUUUGGCUUAACUACAUUCAUACACACUACUUUAAAAUCUUUUUUAUUUAUUUGGUCAAUUAUUUUUUUUUUAAUUUUAAAUACUAUAAUGAUUUUUUUUUUUUUUUUCAAAGUCCAGUCGUGCCUGUGCCGUCAACAGAGUUAGCAUUUAAAACAAAAACUCGCAACUCCGUUAAUGGAGUGCUCAUCUUGGAGGAAAAAAGUGAGAUAUUUGGCAGAAAAAAAAAGAAUAAAACAUUUUUAUAAUAUAAAAAGGGUAAAAUAUUAAAAAUUAAUCAAAAUUAAGUAUUUAAUAUAUAAUUAACUAAAUUUUUUUAACAGAUUCUAACGGCAUGCACAGAUUUGAAAAUAUAAGAACAUUUACAAAAAUAAUAUACAAAAAUUAAAUUUGACAGAAAUAUAUUUACUAUUCACUAUAUUUAUAAAAACCUGUAUAAAAUUAAUGCUAAAAUAAAUUAGGUGUAUCUUAUGCACUCUGUUUAGAAUAUAAGUAUAACAUUGCUCAUUUUGUUUAGUAAAUUGGGUGGUGGUCUCUUGUGUGAUCGAUCAUCAGGCUAGGGCUGGCAAAUGAGCGAGCCGGCUUGCGUUCGACUCGCGUUUGACUCGAUAUUUGGCUCGCUCGAGCUCGACUCGAAAUUAAAUGAGCCGAGCUUGAACAAAAAAAAAGGCUCGAAAUUCAUUUCAAAUCGAGUUUGAGUAUUACUCGGCUCGUUCGAAUUAGGCUUGAAAAGCUCGAAAAGCUCGAAUAUAUAUAUAUAUAUAGUAGAGCUACUAUGCUAUCGAAAGUAUAGAAAUUUGGUGCCUUCGAUUUUUUGAUUCUUAGAUCAAUCCCUUUAAUCGUUUCUUAUCUUUGGAUUAAUAUUAUUAUUACCUUGUAGGGACCACUCAAUCCUAAGAGUAUUAUUUAAUCCUAGGGGAGACCGCAAUCAUCCCAACCAUACAAUUUUUAAUCAAAGGGUCAAAAAUUCAAAAACAUUAAAUCCUCUAUAUUUUCGAUAGCAUCCCAAUCAUACAAUUUUUAAUCAAAGAGUCAAAAAUUUAAAAACAUCAAAUCCUCUAUAUUUUCGAUAGCAUAGUAGUUCUACACCAUAUAUAUAUAUAUUAAAAAAUAUAUAAAUAUAAUAUAUUUUAAUUAUAUAUAGGCUGAGUGAAUAAUCUGAGUUUAGUUAAAAUUGGGCCAAUAUUGUUGGCCUAUAAAAACAAACCUAAUAGACAAAUAAAAUAGCAAAAUUUUACUAAAUUUAUAUUUCCUUUCUUUCUUUUUUUCUUUCACAGAGCUCUAAAUUUUCAAUAUGUUUCUCUCUUUCUAUUUUUCUGUCUCUCACCCCAAGUGGCCAAACCGGUAGCCCUCUAAGUUACCAAGUAACAUCAUAUGCCCGCCGUUGCCUACCUUGCUAUUAGCUUUAAUUGUAUGCUUGAGAAAAUAUACAAAAUAUUUUUAAGUAAAAAAAUUAUUAUUCAUUAUAAAUUUUAUUUAUAUAUAUGAUUGGAUAGUUUAAUCAAUAUUUAUUUAUAUAAUUUAUUAUUUUUUUGACUGUAUAAUGAAAAUGAAUAAUAUGGAGAUUGAAGGCGGAGAAAAGACAUUAUGAGGCUGAAAAAUUAGAUAUUCAACUCAUAAAUUAUUUUUUUAUAUUAUAUUACUAUAUUUCAUUAUUUUUAUGUAUCUUUUAGUAUUAGCACUAUUUUUGUAUCAAAUUAUAGAAUAAUGUUCUAUACAAAUUAAACUAUUGAUCGUAUAAUGUUAGAAUUUCGGCGGCUUGUUUAGGCUCGAGCUCGCUCGACUUGAAAUUAGGCUCGCUCGAGCUCGCUUCGAAUUAAUUUUAAACCAAAAUGGCUUAAAUUUCAGAACUCGAAAUUAAUUUUAAGCGAAUUUGAGCCGAGGUAAACUUGCUCGACCUCGGCUCGUUUCCACCCCUACAUCAGGUCUUCCCAACCUUUAAAAAAAAAAAAAAAAAAAAAAACCCGAAAAUUUUCAAAAGAAUCACAAAAGCAUCUCUGAAAUCUUUCUGUAUCUCUCGGAAUACGCGCUUCUCCUCUCUCUCUCUCAUAUCUUGGUUUCUCGAGAAGCCAAAAACAGCAGCAGCAGCAGUGUGGUGGAGAAAAAUCAGCAGCAAAAGAACAAAAAAAGGAAUUGCACCAGCGCAGGCAGGCAGCACAGCACACAGCACACUCCCUCCCAAGAAGCACCAAACCACAUCCUACACACCCCUGACACCCUCUCCCCCCUUUUGCCCCUCCCUCUCUCUCUCUCUCUCUCUCUCUCUCUCUCUAUUUUGAACACAACAACAGCAGCAACAGCAGCGGCAAAAAGAAGAAGGGUUUCUUGCUUUGCUUCCCUUUUCUUUAUUUCUUGUCUGCUCCCCUUGUUCGGGACAACCCCAUCUUUCUGCCCUCUCCUCCUCCCUUUCCCCUUCUUCUCCUUCUGCUUCUUCUUCUCCUACCCACCAACACAUUAAUGUUGCCAGAGACUAAAACCACCAUGACCACCACCACUACCACCACCACCACCACCAGCAACAACAACAGAACAGCCACUAAGACCCACCCAUGGCCUUUCCAUCUUGCCCUCUCCAGGAAGAAGAGAAGAAAGAGGUUUGGUACUUCCCUCCCUCCCUCUCUUUCUCUCUCUCUCUCUCUCUCUUUUGAUUUCCUGUUUGCUUCUUUUUGUUGUUGCUGUUAUUGCCAUUUCCUUUUGUAGUUUUUUCUUUGUUUGUUUGUUUAGUUGUUUGUUGAAUAUAUGAAACUUAUAGUGACUAGAUAUCCGAGUGACUGGAUAUUCGAGUAGGAGGUUCUGAGUUCGAGUUCUAUUUAAUUUAACUCUCUGUAUCGAAAAAGCCUCGAGUGCAGAUGAGAGAGAGAGAGAAUUUAUAUUGAAUAUAAAUGUUAAGUGUGCAAAUGUAUGUAUAGGGAGAAUUGGCUAGCUAGGAAAUGUAUAUGAAAUAGAUAUGAUUCAAUGUUGUUAAAGCAUGAAAUUCAUUCCUGCUUCUGCCUCCAGUUUGGGGAUGCACCUAUAACCUGGCUUAGGUUCUCUUUUUUUUUUUUUUUUUUUUUUUUUUUUUUUUCUUGUUUGUAUGUUAUAAUCCACUCUUCGGUUUUGAGUGGGUGUGAAUGACAAUGUGGCCUGAAAUUCCACUUAAUUGCUUUUUGAUUAGCUACAUUCCCAUUCAUUGCCUGUUCUAUUAGUUAGAUCUUCCACUCUAUUAGUUAUAUGUGCUUGAUCUGUUUUGGGUCACCGGUGCAUGUCUCCUGGUUGUUUUUUAAUAGACCAUUUUGAGUUAUUUAGUUAAUAAAUUUGUAACGAUCUGACCCACUAGCAAUAAUAACUCAUUGUGUUCAAACCACUGACCCAAAAUAUUUAAAUUCAAUUAAUAUUACUACAGCAUACCAGCAUACUUUGUUCUGCAUAGUACUUAGCUCUCACUCUUUCGGCUUGUUUUCGGCUUUGAUACCAAUUAUAACGACACGACCCGACCCGACCCCUAGCAAUAAUAACUCGUUGGGUCCAAACCACCGGCCCAAAAUACUUAAAUUCAGUUAUUAUUACUAGGAUGUGUGGCCUCUUAUAUUCUCAAUUAUAAUCCUUUUUCAUCCGAUUCGCGACUACUGGGGUGUUACAAAAUCAAUCACUUAGUAACGACUAUGAGAUAAUUGUUAAGCAACUGGCUUGUCUAUCUUGGUAGCAAUUGGAGAAUGAUAAAUUGACCUUCUAAAUGUUAUAUUUCCUUUCACAAUUAUUAUAGAUUAUCUUAGAAAAGAAGCAUUUAGUAUAUACUUAGUGUUUGGUCGGGGAAAAGAAUGGGUAUGGCAAUAGAUAUCUCCCAGACACAAUGACGCAUGCGCCACACCUGUGUGGAAUUGGGUGGGGAAAAUAUCCCUAUAGUUGUUACUUGUUAGAGCAGUGCUGCUUGUACACAUCUUACACCCUGCCAUCCAAGAGCUAGCUUUUUCACAGUUGUCUUAUCACUCACCAUUUUCUUAAUGCUAAAAAACUAAAUGGGGUUGUCUAAACCCUCGGAUGGUGGGGUGUGAGAUUUACACUCAAAAAGUUGGGUGUACAAAUAGCAUUUGUCAUAGAUGUUAUAGCGGUAUCAGGUCCCAAAACAUUUUCCACAUACUUGUUAAGUGGGUAGAGGCUUAAGCUACGAUCAAACAGAAUAAAGAGAACUAGAGAAACUCGGCGACAUGUGGAAGUGGCAGAAUAAACAAGUACUGAAUUAAAGUGGAAGGAAUUUGAUUAAUUAAGUAGUGCUUUGAUUGAGUCUAUUGCUGUGAAGUUACACCUGUAAAAGUAAAGCUUGCCUCUAACAACCUAUAAGAAUAUGAAACCAUCCUAGCUACGACUCUAACAAAUUAACUUCUCAAUCAUUAGCCAUCUAAUAAAGAACAUUCUGAGUAGUUCGACCAAAGCUCAUAAGAAACAAAAGCUAUGGUAAACAUAAUAAACUGAUAAAUUUAAUUAUUUUCAACUAAUUGGUCUUCAAUCCAUAAUGCCCAUAAGACCAAACUCAGUGACUACCAAGUCUUUGCAAAUAUAAACAAUUUUUUUUUUUUUUUUCACAGGAUGAAGGGUUAGUAAAGAUAUCGACUAGUUCUUCUUGAGUUGAAUAGUGCACGCACUUGAUGUUGUCGUUCGUCGGUUGCUCCCGAAUGAAAUGGUGGCAAAUUUUGAUGUUUUUGGUACAUUUGUGGUGCAUUUGAUUCUUUGUUAUGGCAAUCGUUGAUUGAUUGUCGCAAUAAAUGGUGUUGGCUCCUCCUAAUCUUGUUGUAAAUCCAAUAAGACCAGCCAAAAUUUGACUGCUUGGCAAGAUGCAGCAGUGAUUGCUACAUAUUUUGUUUCAGAAGAUGGCAAUGCUGUUGCGUGCUGUUUCUUUGAGAACCAGCACAUCUGUCCUGACUCAAACUUGAGGACAGAUUCACUUGUGCUUUCUAUCAAUCCGUCACACCACCCCAAUCAGUACCAGAAAAACUACAGCAGAUAAAAAUGUUAGUUAACCAUGACUAUGGCCACCGGCCCCUUUCAUUUAUCUUGGGAUUCUCUUUUCUAUAUCAAAAAUGAUUUCUGCUUUUAUUCCAAAGUUUCACGUUUGUUCUUUUGGUGUUUUGCCAAUUACAAGUAGUCCAAAUCUAUCGAGUACAUCAAAUAUGUUUAUCUUUUGCGAAGUAAAUUGUUUUUUCCAAUACAAUGUUACUUCGUGCCCCCAAAAAUUAGUUUGUCAAGCUAACCUCUGCCAUUUCUAAUUCUUGUACCAUAUACGAUUUAAAAUCGUUUUAACAUUUUUUCUUGUUGUGCGAACUUCGACAUAUAUGAAAUGAUCCAUAUAAAGGCAUAUAAUUAAAUUUUUUAUACCUUCUAUACCAUGCUCGCGGUACUUGUUUGAGCCUAUAUAAAGUUUUCUUAGCUUUUACACCUUAUCUUUCAUAAAUUUAAUUUCUUAGUCUUGAAUUUGCUUAAAAUAACUUAAUGAUUCAAAACACCAUUUGGAAGUGCGGACCGAACAUCAAACUGAAUUACUUUCCACUUGGAUGAAAUUCUUAAGAAUAUCACUUAUCACUCUGCAGCUAUAAAUGAGAUUCGUCUCAUUUGGUUUCGUUUUAUUGGCGCCUUACCGGAAAUUUAUGCUGCUUUUUAUCUCAGCGAUGUUCCAUUUUCAUUACAUACCCUCCUUAUCUUCUACAUUUUCAUUUCCAGGUACCGAGGUGAUGGUCAUCUGAGCAGCAGUGAUACGGCAGGCUUGCGCUGAUACACUAGGCUCUCUAGUCCUUUUGAUUACAUUAGUCGAUACGCAUUAGAAGACGAGGACUUGUCAGGGAAAAAAAAAAGAAAAAGAAAAAAAAAAAUCUGGGAAUGAAGCCAUCGGUCCGGGAUCAUAUACAUAUAAUUUUGUAUCGUGACAAUUGGUAGAUUUAGUAAAUUGUUAGGCGAUCGCAGUAUUAUGCCUUCGUUUUUGGUUUGAUGACAAAAUUUCAUUCAGCUAAUUCUUAUUUAGAUUCACUGAACAGUCUUUUUGUUGCAUUAAAGUCUCUACAAAGUAUAUUACAGUUUUCCUUCUGUUAUCUGCUGCGCAGUUUUGUUUCUUCUUGUUGCUCAGAGUGUAUUUUUUUGGGGGACUAAUAUGGAGUUUAUCACCUGGUACAUCGCAAUUUGAACUUAACCUCCAAAUGAAAGAUAUGCAUGUAGUUCUGUGAGGAAUGUAAGUUUUGUCAAUGUUGACCUCUGAGUGCAGUUUUUUUUUUUUUUUUUUUUUUUGAGAGAUAACACGCUAUCCGUUUCGUUUAUUUCAUUUAGAAAUAAACUUAGCUAGAAAUGUGAAUCAAUUAGGAUUUGAACUUGGGUCUCGGGUAUCAACCAUUAAGUCCUUUGCCACUUGCUCUAUGGACGGUCGGUGACCUCCGAGUGCAGUUAUUGUAUUAUUAUUAUUAUUAUCUUUAGGGAUGCAAAUGGGGCGAAUCCAGUCGCGGGAGGGAUUUCUCACCUUUCGCUUCAUUUUUUGUUGGAGCAUGACGGAUUAAUUUUAAUCUUAUUUUUAGAUCCUACUUACCGCUUCAUUCAGGAUGGAUUGGGACAGUAGCAGGUAUUUUGAUGGAUCAAGAUGGAAUAAAGAAAAAAAGUGGUCUUUUGCUCUUGUCACUAUUUACUUGGCAGAUCGAGAUGCAUUCGGAGCGGAUCACAGUAUUCUAAAUUUUCGGCUUUUACUUAUCAUCUCGUUCGGAGUGGAUCGGGGUGGGAGCUACACACCAUGUGCAUUCGGAGUGGACCGGGGUGGCAGCUACACCAACCCAAAUCCAUGUGCAACCUUAUUAUCAAUAGCUUAAAAUUUUGUAUGUAAAGUGUAUUUUUUGUUUUUUCUUGAAAGUUUAAUAUUAUUUUAGGAUAAUUAGAUCGGAUCAAGUUCUAUAGGCUGGUCCAUUCCGACUUUAUAAGGUAUCGUUUUGUUCAGGAAUAAUAUUUUUUUUGUUAUUCUUGAGAUAGGUACAACUUUGAGAAUGAAUGGUAAUAAGAUUUAUUUUAUGUUUGAAUAAAAAUUAAAUUAUUUUCAAAAAUAAGAAAAAUAAAAUAAUUUUUUUUGAUUAUUUCUGAGAUAGGUAUAAUUUUGGGGAUAAGUGGUAAUAAGAUCAAAUUUAUGUUUGAAUGAAAGUGGGUUAUUUUCUAGAAUAAGAAAAAUAGUGUUUAGGCAGUUAGAUAAGAAUAAUAGGAAUAAGAGUAAUUAAUUAAUUAUAGUAGUUAAAUAAUAAUAUUGUAUAUAAAUAAUUAACAACAAAAUAUUAAGUAAAUAAUAUUUAAUAAAUUAAUUGAUUAAUUUAUUAUGAAUAUUAUUAGAUAAUCAUGAAUGUUAGUUAAUAAAUUAAUUAGGACAUUAAUUAAUCAUUAAUUGAUUAAUCAUGAGUACCGGUAGUUAAUGAAUUAAACUAUAAAUAAUUUGAAAAGUUAACAAAUUAAGCUAAUAAAUUAAUAUAUUAAUACAAUAAGAAAUUAAUUAAGCACUUUUUAUUUAAUUAGUAAUAUUGGUCAAAAUAUUAAUUGAUUAACCAAUAUAGAUAUUAGUUAUUAUGUAAACACACUAAAUAAUUAUUAAUUUAUCUAAUAUUUUAUUAUUAAAUUAUUAAUUAUUAAUUUAGCUAAUUAAUUAAUAAAAUAAUAUAUAAUAUAUUAAUUAAUAAUAAAAUAUUAUUAACUUAGUACCGGUAUAAAGAGAAGAAAUUGUUAUUCCACCAAAAGGAUGGAGCAACAAUAAUAACCAGUUAAAAGGAGGAUUAAAUAAACUCAUUCCCUUCUCUAGUGUUUGGAUGAAUUAAAAGGAUAAAAUGGUCUAUUCCCACUUUAUCCCUCAACCAAACACUGCUUAAUACUUUUGCUAUACUGUACUUUUUUAAUUAAAAUAGGCUAAAAAAAUAUUAUAAUUAUAAAAAUAAUUUAUUAAAAUAACUAUUUAUAUAACUAGUUGUAUGCGGUGAAUGAUUCAUCAUUUUUUGAAUGCGGUAAACUAUUUGCUGUCUUUUCAAAAUGGUAAAAUUAUUUUUACUGUUUGAUGUUAUACAUUUUUUUAGUUUAAAUGUAAAAAAUAUAUAAAUUUGAUAAAAUUGGUGAAUAAUUCACCGUUUUCUAAAAAUGAUAAAUUAUUCACCGCUUAAGCCUAUUUUUAUAUAUAAAAAUUUAAAAUAUUUAUUUUUAUAAUUAAAAAAUUCUGGCGGAUUAUUCGCUCAAAAACUCCUAAGCUAUGAUCCUUGUUAUUUCAGCCUCUAUUCAUGAAUAAAGCAGUUUUCUGUUGUCUUUUGUGUGAACCAAAGCAUACAAAAUGAAUGCUUUUAAGCGCGAGAAAUAUAACUAUAUAAGCACGCGCCUGUGCAGAAUAUCUUAUUAUUUGAUUUUGUUGGAAAAUAAAAAAUAAGUGUGGAUUUUUUUGCAAACAGGAAUUUGCUUAAUGGGUUAUUGGAGGAAAACAAAUAAAAUUUUUAUUCUUAUCACAAAAUUAAUAAUUAAUAUAUGCAAAAUAUUGAUUAUUUUAAUUUAUUUAGAUAAUUUAUAUUUUCACUCAAUUAGAUUUUUUAUCGGAUUGGGAUGUGGGUCAAAUUUGGUUGAACAAGAUAAUGGGCCGGUCGAACAUGGCAUGAUCGACAACUUUCUUUUGAACCGUUGCCCAACACGAGCUUUGGCCUGUAAGCCUUUGUUUGGUUGGGAGUUAAAGGGUGGAAUAACUCCUUAACCCCCAUAUUAUCUCCAAACACUCCUAAAACUAGAUGGGGUUAGCUAACCCUACCUAAUCUGGGAUAGCUAUUUUGGGUGGGGUUAGCUAACCUCACCUAACCCUACCAAACCCCAACCAAACAUUAUUUUCUAUUCAUAAUAAUCCACUAUCUUUCUUAUCUCAUCCACUCCAACCAAAUAUUAUUUUUCAUUGUCCUGGACUAACUCCAAUCUCCAACCAAACAUAAAAAUAUUCUAACCACACCUUAACUCUGAACUUAACCCUAUCCCUGAAAUAACUAAUUUUUUCUUAACCCCGAACCAAACGGUAGCUAAAAGUUUGGAUUGUGCUGCAAUUGUGCCGGACCCCAAGUCGACGCAUUAGUCUUAUAUUUCCGAAUCCAAUCUUGAGUUGGGUAUGGAUUCUGAGCCAGGGCCCUCGCUCGGAUGUUACUCCAUCCAAUCACCGUUUGGAUUUGGGCCUCAUUAACCUAGAGCGGGUUCGCUCUCCUGACCACUCGAUCCACUACGGUGAGAAAAAGAAACUUAGAAAUGAAAAUGGAGGAGGAGCUCUCUUUUUUUAUUAUUUAGUUGGAAGACGACAGAUUUGAAAGUGGGUAUAACAAAUUUUCUAAAGGUUAUUUUGAAAAGCAGUCCUUUUGUCUCUCUACAUUUAUUUAUAUAUCUUUUGUUGAAUAGUCUUGUUUCUUAUUUUUGUUGUUAAAAGAAAUAAAGAAAGAAAUAUGGAUUCGUGUUUAGAAAAGUGUUCGUUUAAUUAAUAAGUUAUUAGAGGAAAGCAAAUUACAAUACUCUUUCUAACAAUUUCAUACUCACCACAUGCAAAAUUAUUAUCGUUUAUUCAAUACUAACCUUUAGGGCUUGUUUAAAUAUUUUGUAAUUUUAUUAUGCAGUAAUUUUGUAUAAUAUAGUACGAUAUAUACUUGUGGACUUUUAGAAUUAUAGCAGUAAACAAAUUAUAGAGAUAUAGAGGUUUGAGCUCUUUCUUACUUUUGCAAUAAAUUUACAAAAUAUUUAAACAAGCCCUAAAGGUUAGUAUUGAAUAAACGAUAAUAAUUUUGCAUGUGGUGAGUAUGAAAUUGUUAGAAAGAGUAUUGUAAUUUGCUUUCCUCUAAUAACUUAUUAAUUAAACGAACACUUUUCUAAACACGAAUCCAUAUUUCUUUCUUUAUUUCUUUUAACAACAAAAAUAAGAAACAAGACUAUUCAACAAAAGAUAUAUAAAUAAAUGUAGAGAGACAAAAGGACUGCUUUUCAAAAUAAUCUUCAGAAAAUUUGUUAUACCCACUUUCAAAUCUGUCGUCUUCCAACUAAAUAAUAAAAAAAGAGAGAAGGUUAGCUCCUCCUCCAUUUUCAUUUCUAAGUUUCUUUUUCUCACCGUAGUGGAUCGAGUGGUCAGGAGAGCGAACCCGCUCUAGUAUNNNNNNNNNNNNNNNNNGUAUUAACAAACACGUUCAAAAUUUUAUAUACAUUAAGGAAUACAUAGCUAUUAUCAAACACAUGAACAAACACGUUCAAAAUUUUAUAUACAUUAAGGAAUACAUAGCUAUUAUCAAACACAUGAUUUGCACAUUAGCCGUUCACAUUUAUCACAAAAAAACUAAAAGAUAACUAUAGUUGAUAUGAAAAAAUUAAGCACAAUAAAUAUCACCAGUAAACGUUAUCCUAAUGACGCUCAACACUCAAUUUUUUUUAGUAAUUUUUGUUCUUGACAAGCGAACUUGAAUCUUCUUGUGGUUUUCGAGACAAAAUGAGACUCAAAGACCACAUAAGUUUCUCAGAAAUUACUUAAUAAUGUGUCAAGAAAUUAGCCAACUAAUUAAUAAAUCUAAGUUGCAUAAUUUGGCGCCUAAAUUUAAAUCUUAGAAUUUAGGCUCAUACACUAAUAACUCAAGAUAAUUACGAGGAACAAAAAGAAAAACUCUAAAUUCUAAUAACUCUAAGAUGUAUAACUGGCUUUAAUUGGGACGCACAUACAAUAUGGAGGACAAAAUUAUUAGGCCUGCAUUAUCUCGUUUAAUAAAUGAGCGGAACAUGAGUUGAAUUGUUUAGUGCGAAUUUUAACGAGUCAAACACGAGCUAGAGUUAGGUUGCCUGCGUUCAUAAAUGAGACCGAAUACUAGUUGAAUUUUUCAGCUUGAAAUCUGAACGAGUUGAACACGAGCUGGAGUUAGCUUCCUCGCGGUCGGCUCGAUAUAGUUGGAAUGUGCAUAUCAGUUGAAUUUUUUAGCUCGAAUCUUAAUGAGUCAAACAUGGGAUAGGAUCAGCUUACUCGUUUUCCGCUUGAUAUAGCUCAAAUAUAAAAAGCCGAACAUGACCUAUAUAUAUUGUGACGCCCCCACUUUUCAGAGGAUCAUCCAUUCUAGAAUUACUCUAAGCCUAGCACACUUAUCUCUCUUGACCUCUUGGGUCUAACCACCGCAAAAAAUACUAUAGCUGGGUUUAAGAGAUUUAACCAUAUUAUAUCUUAUAUAUAGGACUAUUUGGGGUUUCACAUUCUCCCCCCUUUAAGUCCUAACGUCUUCGUCGGGCUCAGACUCGCAAAUAUUAGGCGAUGUGGACUCAUCUUGCUAGCUUUAAUUGAUCUUGUGGGGGAGUCACGCUCUACCCAUAAUAAUUAUCCGCAUGAGAUUUUCACUCUUACGGCUAUAUAAUCCUGCCUCAGCCGAAACUUAUCUCACACUUCCAGCUGAUAAUUGACUUUGAUACUAACUGUGAUAUCCCACUUCUCAAGGGGUCAUUCAUCCUAAAACUACUUUUGUUUUAGCACGCUUAACUCUUUUAACCUCUUGGGCCUAGUCACCGCCCAAAAAUAUUAUAGUCGGAUUUAAGAGUUUUAGCUUUAUUAUAUUUUCUAUAUAAGACUAUUUGGAAUCUCACAUAUAUAUAGUUUAUAAUCCAAAUAUAAAGAGACCUAUAUUUUAUGAAUUUCAAUUAAUAGAUUAUACUUCUAAUUUUUUAAUUUUUUAUUUUUUUUACAUAGUAGUAGGAUUGAUGAUCUAAUUGUUUCCCGUGAGCUAUUUUGUGUCUGGCUCAUUAAUAAACAAACCAAACACGGAAUUAGUUUUUAGCUUAAUUUUUUAAUGAGUCACCUUAUAUUCGAUUUGUUUAAUAAACAAACGAAUACGAGUCGGCCCGAACUGCUCAUGUUCGACUCAUUGACAGCCCUAACCUUGACAACGUAGUUAGUUGUUUUAGUCUCUUUAUUUUGUAUGCAUUAUUUGGUAGGCACUAAUACAUACACUUAACUACGCUUGUGACCCAAUGCGAAAUGCAUUAUUUCGAUUCUAGUUGUUUUAGUCUCUUUUCAUGAAUAAAGUAGUUUUCUAUUGUUUUUUGCGUGAACCAAAGCAUACAAAAUAAAUGCUUCAAAAUUUUGCGAAAAUAUACAUAAGCAUCCCUUUAUAGCUGUGCUUAUGAUAGAACAUUUCAUUAUUUGCUUUUGUUGCAAAGAAGAACGGGUUCUUUUUCAGAUAAGAAUAUGCCCAGUGAGUCAUUGGGGGAAAACAAAUUAGAAAUUAAUAAUCACCGUAGCGAGCAUUAUGUACAGUUUAAUUUAAUUAAGAUAAUUCUAUAGAAUAGAAUGUGAGUUACGUAGGGUUGGCACGACUAACAUUUUUCUAGAUCAAAUUGGGUUAGCUGCGGCUCACUUCAUUUCGGAGAAAAUUAGUCGAUAGCGUGGGUCGGACCAACAAUGGCUUGGAUCCUUAUCAUGCGUGAUCCGGCCACCUUUUUCUAGAACGUGGCCUGACACAGCUCGAACAAGAUUGGGUGAUACUGGGCAGUGUUGGGCAUCGGCUUGUCCAUUUUUUCUAUAUUUCUACUUUUAUAUAUUUUUUAUUUUUUAUUUUUUAGAGUUUUACUAUUAAGUUUGUGAAUUAUAUAUAGUUAUUUCUCUAUAGUUACUUAUUAAGUAAAUAAGUUCGAAAUAAAUUUUUAAGCAAAUUAUUUGAAAGUCGAAAAGUUAAAAUUAGUAUUUAAAAGUAAAAAUAAAAAAUAAUAGAAAAGUUAGGGAAAAUAGGAAAAUAAAUAAAUAAAAGGACGAUGCUGGCUAGGUAAAAAUACAGUGUCGUAGCGAUGGCGCUCGACCCUAUGACAUGACGUGACAUGAAUUAGAAUGCAGGCCUUUGCUUGCGCCUUCUGGGCUUAACAUAGCAUAACACGGAGUCGUAGAUUGCAUCCAAUUCUUGAUCUUACAUUUGAAUCGAUAAAAUUAAUAUGCUUCAAAUUAAAUUUAAAGUCGUGCUCUUAAAAAUAUGAAAUAUUCAAAUUACAAAUUCACACACAUUUUCUUAAUUUCAAAAUUAGUGUGUAAAAUUGGUAAUGAUAUAAAGAGAAGAAUACUAUUAUGAGAAAAAUAGCUGUUCAAAGAAACUCUUAAUUUACCAAAUGUUUAAUAAUUUUAAGUUAGAUAAUCUAAAAUAAUUUGGAAAAAAAGGAACAUCUCAUCCUUCCACAUUGGACUUCCUCUAAAUUUUUGUAACAAGUCUUUAAGAUUCCGUGACAAACGAAGUAUAAUAUGUGUUUUUGCAGGCUUUUUUAUUUAGGGCAUGUUUGGUUGCCCAUAAGUGAAACAAUAAAAGUGAUAUUUUGGCGAAAUGAAAUUAUUUUGGUUGUUUGGAUUAUAAAAGUAAACAUGUAAGUGUUUUUUGAAAAGUGAACCCAUGAAGUGGAUUAUAACUAAAAUCCAUUUUUUUGACUUCGGCAAAAAAAAUUUCGAAGUCGUUGAAAGUGGGCCGCUUCAUUCACGCGACUUACGAACCGCAUACAAAAAUCUUCUUCCAUACCAUCUACAAAAAAUAAAAAAUAAUAAAAAAAAAACCGCGUGUCUUAACAAAAAAAAACCAACACAUUUUUUUUAAAAAAAUCAUUUUAUUUUUUUAUUUUCUUAUAUAGAACCAAAUAAUAUAUGUCAUAAAAACUGUAUUUUUUCUUUUACUUUUUUGAAACCAAACACUUGAACUCAAAAGUGGCUUCCAUAAAAUUCACUUUUUGAAAAGUGACUUUUUUUUCACUUCGAUCACUUACGGACAACCAAACAUGACCUUAAGAGAAGUACUAAAUAUACUUUUGUGUGAUAUUUGAUUAUAUUCUUUAUAUACUAUUUGAUAUAGGUGUCUGAAGUAAUGAAAGAUAUACAUCCAAAUAAGUCUAAUCUUUGAAUCUAGAUUAGGAUACCAGAUCCACCUUUUUAAAUUUGAAAAUUUUCAGACAUGGAUUGGGAUCUCACCUGCCUACUCAAAUUCAAACUCAGAACUUUGAGUAAGAAUUCUUUUUUUUUUUUUUAAGAGUUGGAUUUCAGAUUUGGAUCAAUAUUCUUAUUUGGUUUCGUAUUCAUAUAUUUAGAUUGUGAAUCCAAAAUUGGUUUUAUUCAGUAUGUAGCAUGUCUAUUUAGAUCAUGUUCAACAAUAUUUUCUUAGAAUUCUUAAUUUUCUUUUAUAUUUUUCUAGCCCUCUAUAAAUUUUAGGAAGCUUGAUAUCCGAUUAAUAUCCAAAUUAAUAUUUGGACCUCAUGUAAAAAUAUGGAUAUGAAUAUAAAUCGGGCAGUACCAGAUCCAAAGCAUUUAAGACGUAGGCGUUUAAGAUAUCUCCAUUUGUUUUGUAUGAUUCAAAGCAUUUAAGAUGUAUGCUUUUAGAUUUUGAGCAAUGCUUUCUCUCUCAGCUUUAUUUUUUAUUUUAUACUCUUUAUUUUUUUGACAUAGAGAAAGAUAGCACGUUACCCACGAGAUCCGGGCAGCGUUGACCAUCCCCAAGCAAUUGACACGAGGAUAACAACAACGACACUCCAAUAGGAUACACUACUCUGCUAUGUCAUGUAGGGUCUAUAGCUAGUUGAGAAUUAUACUUAGUAAUCAUGCCGUGGAGGAUAGAGCGGGAGCUGGCUAACCCAAUUGCCAGCCUCUCAUGAACAAAGCCGGGAUUGGCUACUCGGUGGCCAUUCUCGGAGGGUCAGGACUGGCUACCCGAUUGUCAUUCUCAUAUGGACAGAGAUGGGAAUAGCUUAUAUACUCCUGAAAAAUUUUCGACUUUCUGAUUUAUCUUUUUUAGAAGAUUAAUAUUAAAAAUAACUUUUUUACGUUCCAACCUAUUUUAAAUAUAUCCCUAGGGUUAAAAUUUGUUAAUGAAUUAUGUUAUCUUUAUAAAAUUACUAUUUUGUCCUUUCAAAUAUACCCUUCUACCGUUCUACCAUCAUCGACUUUUUUUAUUUGCCCUUCAGUUAGGGGCACAAAAAGUAUCUUAUUUGUUAGUCUUUUCAAAUAUAUCUUUCUACUAUUACCAAUAUUUCUUAAGUUAAGGGCAAAAAUAAUAUUUUAAUUUUUUUUAACUAUGCUACAUAUUUAACUCACGUUUAAUCCAAAUUAACUUAACAGAUGGUAACUGUAGGGAUAUUUUGAAUUAACGGAGAACAUAUGAGGGGUAUAUUAAAAAGAAAAAAAAAAGUCGGAAUAAAUGAGUUAUUUUCAAAGUUUUGAAGGGUGUAUAAGACAAUUAUCCCUAUAUAUUUAUAUACAUAGUUGGACUAGAAUGCUACAGUAAGGAGAAUUAUUGAUUUUUGAUUUAAUGGCUAAAGUUUGGAUCCAAAGUCUAAAAACUCACAAGCACUAAUAUUUCUGCCCUAUCGAUAGAGAGAGAAACAAUAUAAAUUCUAAUAACUCUAGUUUGGAUAAUUUGUAUGNACAAUUUUUUUUUGAAUAUCUUUAUUGGUUUUUGGUCCCGUAAACACGCAUCCAAACAUCCAUUUGUGAAUAUAAAUAUUUUUUUUUCUGACAUCCUAGGAAUUCAAAAUAAAAAAAACAUUAGUGGAAGGCAAAUAAAAAAUGCCCUACUAUCAAUUUAAUAAUCAUUAUAUGUAAAAUUGUUACACUUUUAUUUUGUAUUAUAUCUUUUAUUAUAUUACCAAUUCUAUUUGUAUUAUUACACAUGAUUUUAUUAUAUCAUCAAAUCAUGUGUUUGAUAAUGCUACAACCUUUGAAGUCGAUGGGGCCCACAAAGCAGUGAGUUAAUUUGCGUACGAUGCGAACUCACGACUUCACGAUCGUCACGCAUGAAGCCUAUUUGAGCUUGUAUUAACAAACACGUUCAAAAUUUUAUAUACAUUAAGGAAUACAUAGCUAUUAUCAAACACAUGAACAAACACGUUCAAAAUUUUAUAUACAUUAAGGAAAUACAUAGCUAUUAUCAAACACAUGAUUUGCACAUUAGCCGUUCACAUUUAUCACAACAAAAACUAAAAGAUAACUAUAGUUGAUAUGAAAAAAUUAAGCACAAUAAAUAUCACCAGUAAACGUUAUCCUAAUGAUGCUCAACACUCAAUUUUUUUUAGUAAUUUUUGUUCUUGACAAGCGAACUUGAAUCUUCUUGUGGUUUUCGAGACAAAAUGAGACUCAAAGACCACAUAAGUUUCUCAGAAAUUACUUAAUAAUGUGUCAAGAAAUUAGCCAACUAAUUAAUAAAUCUAAGUUGCAUAAUUUGGGGCCUAAAUUUAAAUCUUAGAAUUUAGGCUCAUACACUAAUAACUCAAGAUAAUUACGAGGAACAAAAAGAAAAAUACUAAAUUCUAAUAACUCUAAGAUGCAUAACUGGCUUUAAUUGGGACGUGUUGGGAACCGGAUGGAUCGUCCGUCAUGUGCUACCAACAAAGAUGCACGAAAAAUAGAGAAAAUCGACCGAACGGUAAAAGAAAUAAAUGCAGAAAGAAGAAACCAAGAUUUACGUGGUUCGGCAAUUGCCUACGUCCACGGGGAGAGCGAGAGAGAUGUAUUCCACUAUAUGAAGAAAUAAAAGUACAAGCUUACACCUUAUGUCUUCUCCGGAUAAAAAAAACCAAGAACCUUAUGGUGAAUCCCACCUUUCUUGUUCCAACGAAAACUCCAAGAAAAAUACCGAAAAAGCUUUUCGUAAAACCGAGAAGACCAAAUUAGAGAAGUAUAGAAACUCUAACCAAAUUCCUUUAUGCCGUUGCUUCGAAGAAUCCGAACCGCUCAGGCNUUUGGCUCGAUUACAAACAGAAAAGAAAAAAAAAAGAAAAAUUAAUUACCAUUUUUUCUUCUCUCUUCACUCAAUCCACUGAAAUUCUAGACGAAGAGCCUUUCCUGUCGUCCUCCUCCGCUACCGCAGCCAACGAGAUAGAGUUUCGGCGGUUGCUAAAUACUUAAAUAAGUGUUGGUAAAUUAGCAGCACUCUUUUAGGUUAUAGCGACACUCUUUAACUGUCACUAUAUACCUAGCGACCUCACAUAUAACAACACUUUUUAAAAGUGUCGGUAAUUUUAGCUAGCAGCACUUUUUUGACUUAUACCUACAUUUAAUAGUGUCGCUAUAGACCAUUUUUGUUGUAGUGGAUGUCCCACUUCUCAAGGGGUCAUCCAUUCUAAAACUAUUUUAGUUUUAGCACGCUUAACUAUUUUAACCUCUUGGGCCUAACCAUCGCUCAAAAUAUUAUAACCGGAUUUAAGAGUUUUAGCUUUAUUAUAUUUUCUAUAUAAGACUAUCUGGAAUCUCACAUAUAUGUAGAUUAAUCCAAAUAUAAAGAGACAUAUACUUUAUGAAUUUCAAUUAAUAGAUUAAACUUCUGAUUUUUAAUUUUUUAUUUUUUUUACAUAGUAGUGGGAUUGAUGAUCUAAUUGUUGCCUGUGAACUAUUUUGUAUUUGGCUCAUUAAUAAACAAACCAAACACGGAAUUAGUUUUUAGCUUAAUUUUUUAAUGAGUCACCUUAUAUUCAACUUGUUUAAUAAACAAACGAAUACGAGUUGGCCCGAACUGCUCAUGUUCGACUCAUUGACAGCCCUAACCUUGACAACGUUGCUAUAGUACUCCUAGCGCUACUAUUUGGUAGGCACUAAUACAUACACUUAACUACGCUUGUGACCCAAUGCGAAAUGCAUUAUUUCGAUCCUAGUUGUUUUAGACUCUUUUCAUGAAUAAAGUAGUUUUCUAUUGUUUUUUGCGUGAACCAAAGCAUACAAAAUAAAUGCUUCAAAAUUUUGCGAAAAUAUCAAAAUAUACAUAAGCAUCCCUUUAUAGCUGUGCUUAUGAUAGAACAUUUCAUUAUUUGCUUUUGUUGCAAAGAAGAAUGGGUUCUUUUUCAGAUAAGAAUAUGCAUGCCCAGUGAGUCAUUGGGGGAAAACAAAUUAGAAAUGAAUAAUCACUAUAGCGAGCAUUAUGUACAGCUUAAUUUAAUUAAGAUAAUUCCAUAGAAUAAAAUAUGAGUUACGUAGGGUUGGCAUGACUAACAUUUUUCUAGAUCAAAUUGGGUUAGCUGCGGCUCACUUCAUUUCGGAGAAAAUUGGUCGAUAGCGUGGGUCGGACCAACAAUGGCUUGGAUCCUUAUCAUGCGUGGUCGGGCCACCUUUUUCUGGAACGUGGCCUGACACAGCUCGAACAAGAUUGGGCGAUACCGGGCAGUGUUGGGCAUCGUCUUGUCCAUUUUUUCUAUAUUUCUACUUUUAUAUAUUUUUUAUUUUUUAUUUUUUAAAGUUUUACUAUUAAGUUUGUGAAUUAUAUAUAGUUAUUUCUCUAUAGUUACUUAAUUAUUAAGUAAAUAAGUUGAAAAUAAAUUUUUAAGCAAAUUAUUUGAAAGUUGAAAAGUUAAAAUUAGUAUUUAAAAGUAAAAAUAAAAAAUAAUAGAAAAGUUAGGAAAAAUAGGAAAAUAAAUAAAUAAAAGGACGAUGCUGGCUAGGUAAAAAUACAGUGUCGUAGCGAUGGCGCUCGACCCUAUGACAUGAAUUAGAAUGCAGGCCUUUGCUUGCGCCUUCUGGGCUUAACAUAGCAUAACACGGAGUCGUAGAUUGCAUCCAAUUCUUGUUCAUCUUACAUUUGAAUAGAUAAAAUUAAUAUGCUUCAAAUUAAAUUUAAAGUCGUGCUCUUAAAAAUAUGAAAUAUUCAAAUUACAAAUUCACACACAUUUUCUUAAUUUCAAAAUUAGUGUGUAAAAUUGGUAAUGAUAUAAAGAGAAGAAUACUAUUAUGAGAAAAAUAGCUGUUCAAAGAAACUCUUAAUUUACCAAAUGUUUAAUAAUUUUAAGUUAGAUAAUCUAAAAUAAUUUGGAAAAAAAGGAGCAUCUCAUCCUUCCACAUUGUACUUCCUCUAAACUUUUGUAACAAGUCUUUAAGAUUCCGUGACAAACGAAGUAUAAUAUGUUUUUUUGUAAGCUUUUUUAUUUAGGGUAUGUUUGGUUGCCCAUAAGUGAAACAAUAAAAGUAAUAUUUUGGCGAAAUGGAAUUAUUUCGGUUGUUUGGAUUAUAAAAAUAAACAUAUAAGUAUCUUUUGAAAAGUGAACCCAUAAAGUGGAUUAUAACUAAAAUCCACUUUUUUGACUUCGGCAAAAAAAAUUUCGAAGUCGUUGAAAGUGGGCCGUCUCAUUCACGCAACUUAUGAACCGCAUACAAAAACCUUCUUUCAUACCAUCUACCAAAAAAAAAAAAAAAAAAAAAAAAAAAAAAAAACCGCGUGUCUUAACAAAAAAAAACCAACACAUUUUUUUAAAAAAAAUCAUUUUUUUUUUAUUUUCUUAUAUAGAACCAAACAAUAUAUGUCAUAAAAAUUGUAUUUUUUCUUUUACUUUUUUGAAACCAAACACUUGAACUCAAAAGUGGCUUCCAUAAAAUUCACUUUUUGAAAAAGUGACUUUUUUCACUUCGAUCACUUACGGACAACCAAACAUGACCUUAAGAGAAGUACUAAAUAUACUUUUGUGUGAUAUUAGAUUAUAUUCUUUAUAUACUAUUUGAUAUAAGUGUGUGAAGUAAUGAAAGAUAUACAUCCAAAUAAGUCUAAUCUUUGAAUCUAGAUUAGGAUACCAGAUCCACCUUUUAAAUUUGAAAAUUUUCAGACAUGGAUUGGGAUCUCACCUGCCUACUCAAAUUCAAACUCAGAACUUUGAGUAAGAAUUCUUUUUUUUUUUUUUAAAGAGUUGGAUUUCAGAUUUGGAUCAAUAUUCUUAUUUGGUUUCGUAUUCAUAUAUUUAGAUUGUGAAUCCAAAAUUGGUUUUAUUCAAUAUGUAGCAUGUCUAUUUAGAUCAUGUUCAACAAUAUUUUCUUAGAAUUCUUAAUUUUCUUUUAUAUUUUUCUAGCCCUCUAUAAAUUUUAGGAAGCUUGAUAUCUGAUUAAUAUCCAAAUUAAUAUUUGGACCUCAUGUAAAAAUAUGGAUAUGGAUAUAAAUCCGGCAGUACCAGAUCCAAAGCAUUUAAGACCUAGGCGUUUAAGAUAUCUCCAUUUGUUUUGUAUGAUUCAAAGCAUUUAAGAUGUAUGCUUUUAGAUUUUGAGCAAUGCUUUCUCUCUUAGCUUAUAUUUUUUAUUUUAUACUCUUUAUUUUUUUGACAUAGAGAAAAAUAGCACGUUACCCACGAGAUCUAGGCAGCGUUGACCAUCCCCAAGCGAUUGACACGAGGAAUAACAACACCGACACUCCAAUAGGAUACACUACUACUCUGCUAUGUCAUGUAGGGUCUAUAGCUAGUUGAGAAUUAUACUUAGUAAUCAUGCCGUGGAGGAUAGAGCGGGAACUGGCUACCCAAUUGCCAGCCUCUCAUGAACAAAGCCGGGAUUGGCUACUCGGUGGCCAUUCUCAUACGGACAGAGUCAGGACUGGCUACCCGAUUGUCAUUCUCAUAAGGACAAAGAUGGAAAUAGCUUAUAUACUUCUGAAAAAUUUUCGACUUUUUGAUUUAUCUUUUUUAGAAGAUUAAUAUUAAAAAUAAUUUUUUUACGUUCCAACCUAUUUCAAAUAUAUCCCUAGGGUUAAAAUUUGUUAAUGAAUUAUGUUAUCUCUAUGAAAUUAUUAUUUUGUCUUUUCAAAUAUACUUUUCUAUAGUUCUACCAUUACUGACUUUUUUUAUUUGCUCUUCAGUUAGGGGCACAAAAAGUAUCAUAUUUGUUAGUCUUUUCAAAUAUAUCUUUCUACCAUUACCAAUAUUUCUUAUUUGUCCUUAAGUUAAGGGCAAAAAUAAUAUUUUAAUUUUUUUUAACUAUGCUACAUAUUUAACUCACGUUUAAUCUAAAUUAACUUAACAGAUGGUAACUGCAAGGGAAUUUUGGAUUGACGGAGAACAUAUGAGGGGUAUAUUAAAAAGAAAAAAAAAAAGUAGGAAUAAAUGAGUUAUUUUCAAAGUUUUGAAGGGUGUAUAGGCAAUUAUCCCUAUAUAUUUAUAUACAUAGUUGGGCUAGAAUUAAUGCUACAGUAAGGAGAAUUAUUGAUUUUUGAUUUAAUGGCUAAAGUUUGGAUCCAAAGUCUAAAAACUCACAAGCACUAAUAUUUCUGCCCUAUCGAUAGAGAGAGAAACAAUAUAAAUUCUAAUAACUCUAGUUUGGAUAAUUUGUAUGCCAAAUUUAAGAUUCGAGAGCCUUGGUUCAUCCAGCAAUAAGUCUAGAUGACAAAGAAAAAAAAGUAAUAUCUAAAUUCUAGUAACUCCACGUUGCAUUGGUGGGUUCCAGAAUAUAUAACUUUACCUAGGCUUUUUAGUGGGUAUUUUUUAAAAAAAUUUCUCUCUCUUUUGUGUAGUAUUUAUAAAUGGAUGACUUGCAGGUUUAUCGUCUGAAAACAAGAUUAAAUUCGUCUUGUACUAUGCCCAGUCUUAUUAUUACAUGUACAUUUGUUGUCAUUGCAAUUUUCACAAACACUUUUUGAUCAUCAUAGGUAGUAAAAUCAAUCAUCUCUAAUCUUCACUAGUAUUUUAAAAAGAUGCAGGAGUUGGAAAUUGUCGUUGCAUAUAGAGGACUGUAAAUUAUUUCUAAAUUUAAUUCAUACUCAAAUAAAGAGUAUUUUGAUUUUUAAACGUAGCUGAUUCUCCAAUCCGUUAUUUGCUGCUGUCAUCUUAAGUCAGUUUCAACAUCUUUUCCUUGAUGGAGUAGUUUUCUGUUGUUUAUUGUGUGAACCAAAACAUACAAAAUGGAUGCUUUUGGGUUUUGAGCAAUAUAUACACACUUUUAUAGCUACAUUGAUGGUAGAAAAUUUUAUUAUUUACUUUUGUUAUAAAAUAGAAAAAAAGUAUGGAUGCUUUUUUAGAAAGGAAAAAACUAAAUGAGCUAUUGGAGGGAAGCAAACUUGCACCUACUUAUUUGCGUUUAUAAUAUUAUAAAUAUUUUAAUCUAAUUAUAUAAUUUGUAUAAAUUGGGAUUCCAUCCGGGGUUAAGCUGACAUGAUAUAUAAUCUUCCAAAUAGAACUAGGCUUCACACAACCCAACUGCAUGAACCAGAUUUAAAUCUAUUUUAGUUUUUGUUCCAAAACAGCUAAAAUCAGUUUUGAACAAAAUCUAAACCGGUCCAAAACCGGUUCUAGUGGGUACCAUUUAUCCAACCCCGAUAUCAAAUCUGUUCCUACUAGUUUCUCAAAAUCAGUUCUAAUUGGUUUUAUAAAUUGAUUGAUCAUUUAUGCACAGCGUCGAUUAUCGUAGUUAGGAGAGGGUGGAUGAUAGUAAAUAUUGUGAAGAGAAGUGCAACGGGAAAGGUGUGUGAGCCAACUCAACAAAAAAGCGCAACAUACUCAACGUCAUUGCAUAUAGUCCCACAUUGCCUAUUGAAAUAUUUUACAGGGUGCACAAGAGUUUGUAAAAAUUCUAUAUUUGGGCAAAUUCUCGGGCAUUUACUAGUUUAGUGACAAAACUAGGGAAUUUUCUUGAACCACUUGGCGCUCUAAAACUAAUAUACGAAUCCAAAAUUUUAUCUAGAAGUUUAUCCAGUAAUUCUAUUAUCAUCUUACUCUUCUUGUCUAAUGACCUAGAAUUUUUUUAGUAAUUUUCACCAUAAAAUCUAACUCAAAUCCGACAUAAUUUUCUCAAAACUUUCAUUGCAAUAUAUCAUGAAAUUCCCCAACUAAAGUAUGUUUGGUUUGUCAUAACAUUAGGCCGAACACAAUUUUCUGAUCGGAGAAUAGUUUUUUAUUUGUUUGGUUCCACAAUCCUUCAUCCAAGUGCCACAACAAGCCUAGAAGUAAAAUGGCUAAAGUAUUUCUAAAAAUAUACUAUAUAUAUAUAUAGAAUGAGUUGAGCUGGAAUGCUAUCGGUAGCAAACGGGCUCCGUUGCCACCCAUUUGUUUUCGAUGAUGGAGCUUUUAAAUUGACGAUCGGCACCGUUGAACAUGAUCUAUAUCAGUUGAAGUAUCUAGAAAUCAAAUUUCAAAUCUUUUCGACAUCAUUUACCUAAUGAUCAAAGGGUUUCAAAAUUAGUAAUUUUAAUGGUUGAUAUGAGGGGUUUUCUUGUUUAACGGUGUAAAGCUAUCCAAAUCAAUUAAAUUUUGGUUAGAAAAUUCUUUAAACUAUUUAGAAUAAGAUCUAUACUCUCGAUCAAGAUUACAAAAUUUUUAUCAUCACUUUUCAGAGAAUAUUCAUUUUCAGCCAUUCAUUUUUACGCCCACUUGAUGGACAAGAAAACAAUAUGGAAAAAGUAUGAAAUUUGAUUUCUAGAUACUUCAAGUGGUAUAGAUCAUUUUCAACAGUGCCGAUCGUCGAUUUGGAGGCACCAUCAUCGAAAACAAAUGGGUGGCAACGGAGUCCGUUUGCUACUGAUAGUAUUCCAGCUCAACUCUAUAUAGAAUUAUGCUACUAUACUAUUAAUAGUACCAAACUCUUGAUACUAUUGAGUUUUCAGCCAUUGAAUGAAAGGAUGUACGGUUAGGAUGAUGGUGGUCUCCGGUUAAAUUGAUAGUGGUCCCCUAGGGUUGAGUGGGUGGUUGGUUCAAUAGUAUAAUCUAACGGGUGAAAAUGAUUAAAAGGUAGAUCUAACGAUAGAAAACUCAAUAGUACCAAAGGCUUGGUACUAUUGAUAGUAUAGUAGCCAGACUCAUAUAUAUAUAUAUAUAUACAUAUAUAUAUAUAUAUAUAUAUACAUAUAUAUAUACAUAUACAUAUAGAAUUAGACUGGAAUACUAUUAGUAGUAAAACACUCUUUUUGCUAUCAAGUUUUUAACCCUUGGAUGAAAAAUUGUAGGGUUAGGAUGAUAUUAGUCGGUUAGAGUUGAGUGGUCCUCCUAGGGUUGAGUGGUCCCUACUGGGUUAUAGUAUUUAAUCCAAUGGCUAGAAAUGAUGAAAAGAGUUGAUCCAAUGGCUAAAAAACUGGUAGCAACAAUAGAAUUUUGCUACUAAUAGUAGCCCAGUCCAACUCUAUACAUAUAAUAUAUAUAUAUAUUAUAGAUAUAUAUAUAUAAUAAGUUGAGCUAGAAUACUUCUAAAAGUAUUAUGAGGUUGUGCUUUUGAGUUUUUAACCAUUGGAUGAAAAAAUGUAAGGUUGGGAUGAUGGUGCUGGUAGUGGUAGGUGGAAUAGUGUUUGAUCCAAGGGCUAUUAGUAAUCAAUGAGUAGAUCUAAGGGCUAGAAAUCUAAAGCACCAAUUGGGUGAUACUUCUAAAGUAUUCUAGCUCAAUUAUAUAUAUAUAUAAUAUAUAUAUAUAUAUAUAUAUAAAAUUGAGCUAGAAAACUCUCAAAAGCACCAACCCCUUAGUGCUUUUGAGUUUCUAACCUUUGGAUCUAUUUCUUGAUUAUUAAUACCUUUGGAUCAAGCAAGCACUAUUAUCUCGGUCCUUUUGAUAGAGAGAGAAAUAAUAUAAAUUCUAAUAACUCUAGGUUGCAUAAUUUGUAGGCCAAAUAUAGAAUUUGAGAGUUUUGGUUCAUCCACUAAUAACUCUAGAUUACAAGGAAAAAAAAAAAAUCUAAAUUCUAAUAACUCCACGUUGCAUUGGUGGGUUCCAAAAUAUAUAAUUUGGAGGAGAAAAUUAAAUCUCGUCCUCGCCCUAACUUUAUCUAGUGUAGGCUUAUUAGUGGGUUUUUUUUAAAAUUUCUCUCUCUCUCUUUUUUGUGUGGUAUUUAUAAAUAGAUAACUUGCAGGUUUAUGGUCUGAUAAAUUUAUGUUAAAUAGCACAUGUAUUCUCUCUCCGAGGACAAGAUUAAAUUCGUCUUGUUUUAUGCCCAGUCUUAUUAUUACAUGCACAUUUGUUGUCAUUGCAAUUUUCACAAACACUUUUUGAUCAUCGUAGGUAGCAAAGUCAAUAAUCUCUAAUCUUCACUAAUAUUAUAAAAAAAUGCAGGAGUUGGAAAUUAUUGUUACAUAUGUAAGGCCAUAAAUUAUUUUUAAAUUUAAUUCAUACUUGAGUAAAGAAUAUUUUGAUUUUCAAACCUAGCUGAUUUUCCAAUCCGUUAUUUGUUGCUGUGAUCCUAAGUCAGUUUCAACAUUUUUUUUCUUGAUGGGUAGUUUCUUGCUGUUUUUUGUGUGAAGCAAAACAUACAAAAUAGAUGCUUUUGGGUUUUGAGCAAUAUAUACACACUUUUUAUAGCUGCAUUGAGGUUAGAAAAUUUUAUUAUUUGCUUUUGUUGUAAAAUAAAAAAAAAGUAUGGAUGCUUUUUCAGAGAAGAAAAAACUAAAUGAGUUAUUGGAGGGAAGCAAACUAGCAACUAGUAAUUCGCGUUUGUAAUAUUAUACAUAUUUUAAUCCAAUUAUAUUAUCGGUAUAAAUUGGGAUUCCAUCUGGAUUAAACUGACAUGACAUAUAAUCUUUCAAAUAGAAUUAGGCUUCGCACAACCCAAAUGCACGAACCUGAUUUGAAUAUUGGGCGAAACCUGUCCGGUUACAGUAUUUGUUCUAAAACAGGUGAAAUAUGUUUCGAAUAAAAUCUAAAUCGGUCCAAAACCGAUUCUAGUGGGUGUCAUUUAUGCAACUCCAAUAUCAAAUCUAUUCCUACUAGUUUUUCAAAAUCGGUUCUAACCGGUUUUAUAAAUCGGUUGAUCAUGUUGGCACAGCGUCGAUUAUCGUCAUUAGGAGAGGGUUGAUGAUAGUAAAUAUCAUGAAGAGAAGUGCAACGGGAAAGGUGUGGCGCAACAUACUCAACGUCAUUGCAUUUAGUCCCACAUCGCCUAUUGAAAUAUUUUCCAUAGUUCCGGGGGCUACAAAGGGAGUGGGACGUGGACCUUUCCUCCAUACUUACCUGGACGGGGUCUAUGGGUGAUCAACAAGGCUCAUGGCCUAGGCCCGCGGCCCACAUUGCACUCGGUGGGCGCGCUGGCCUACCAUCUCCCCAAGUGGGAGAGUGGACGUCAUAAUUUGUGGUAGAGGGGGUACGCGCCAUGCGCGGCCCCUGCCAAAUUCUGUAAUUCUAAUUUUUCAGCACUAAUAAAUAUUUAGUACAAUAUUUAUAUCAAAUUUGGAAAUUUUAAUUUUUUAAUAUUAAUAAAUAUUUAAGAUAAUAAAAGAGUUUGGCUAUGAUGAUUUUAAAAGCACAAAACACUUCAUAUUUGUAAAUUUUCUGCCAUUGGAUUAAAUUCUUUGAUCAUUUUUAUCCGUUUGAUCAUACUAUUUAACCAACUACUCAUUUAACUCUAGAGAACCACUUUUGUCCUAAUUGCACAUUUUUAAUCCACAGACCGAAAAUCUACAAGUACCAAUAACUUACAUUCUUAAUUAAAGGGUCGAAAACCUACGAGAACCAAUAACUUUAUACUUUUAAAAACAUAGGAGCUGAAUUCGAUAAUAAAAUAUUAUUUUAAUAUUAAUAAAUAUUUAAUUUAUAUUGAAUUAUGUGAAUUCCACAAUUCAAAUAUUUAAUGUUAAAAAAAUACUAAUAAACAUUAUUAAUGAGAUAUUUAAUUAUGUGAGGAUGAAAAAAAAAAAAGCUUUUAAUGGUAAUAAAAUGUUAAUAAAUAUUUAAUUAUGUGAGGGAUACAAAUUAAAAAAAGGGUUA